CGACAACGACGACAACGACGACAACAACAACAACAACAACAACAACAACAACAACAACAACAACAACAACAACAACAACAACAACAACAACAACAACAACAACAACAACAACAACAACAACAACAACAACAACAACAACAACAACAACAACAACAACAACAACAACAACAACAACAACAACAACAACAACAACAACAACAACAACAACAACGACAACAACAACUACAACAACAACAAUCCACCGCCACCACCCCUAGUCGACAACUUGGCCCGCUUUCUAAGGUUGAAUCCGCCAGUGUUCUCUAGUAGCACCGAGCCGAUUGUUGCUGAUGACUGGCUCCGCAAGAUUGGAAGGGAGCUGACCACCACAGGUUGCACAGAUGCUAAGAAGGUGCGCUUUGCCGCACAUCAACUGGACGGACCCGCAGCCUCAUGGUGGGAGAACUACACUGCCACUUUCCCCGUGGCCAAUGUCACUUGGGAUUAGUUUCAACAAGCAUUCCGCACUCACAUGUCUCAGCUAGAGCUAUGAGUAUGAAGAAGCGUGAGUUCCGCAACUUACGUCAGGGAAAUCAUACUGUGGCGCAGUACGUGCAUGAGUUCGGCAAGUUAGCUCGCUACGCCCCAGAUGAUGUGGCCACAGAUGCUGCGAAGCAGGAGAAGUUUAUGGAGGGGCUGAAGGAUGAGUUGAGUAUGUAGUUGAUGGUGGCAACAUUCACCAACUAUCAGGAGCUGGUAGACAGGGCUCUCAAGAUCGAAGGCAAGCAGCAGCAGAUAGAGAGCCGUAAACGGAAGUAUGGACAGGGGAAGUACAACUCUGGAGCUCAGCAAAAGCACCAUUUUACCCCGAAGUCGGGAGGACAUACCCAUAAUAACCAUGGAGGCCAUUCUCACAAUGGAGGAAGUUCACAUAACCACAGUGGCCCUAAGAAUGGAAAUGGGAAUGGAGGAAACAACAAUCAGAGCCAUUCCAACCCAGCAACCCCCGCCAAGAAGGAUCUGAGUCACGUUACCUGUUUCAAGUGCAGGAAGAUGGGACACUACGCAAAUGAUUGUCUUGAGAUAAAGUUACCCAAUGUAGUUAUUGGUAAGUUUUUUAUUAAGUUAUUUACAGUUGUCGUCCUUUUUGACACUGGUGCAUCAUAUUCAUACAUAUCAAGGGGAUUUGUGGAUAAGUUUAAGUUGCCCACCAUAGCCCUUAAGACACCUAUGUUAGUAAGCUCACCUGGAGCGGAGUAUAUGGCUAGCAGAGGAUGUUUUCAGUUGCCAUUGACCAUAGGUAGGCAUGUUUUCCCCUCAGACCUAGUUAUUUUGGAGUCACAAGGAUUGGAUGUGAUACUAGGCAUGGACUGGCUAUCGAUGUACGGAGGAAAUAUCGAUUGUGCUAGUAAGUCAAUUCUCCUCACCACCCCAAAAGGUAAACGGAUCAAGUAUGUGUCUAGGCAUGCGCCAAGGAGGACUCAAGUAAAUUCACUUUCGGGAGUUGUUCAGGAUGAAGUGCCAGUUGUGAAGGAUUAUCCCGACGUAUUCCCGGAGGAACUACCAGGCAUGCCACCAGAUCGAGAUAUAGAAUCUUUGAUAGAGCUGUUACAAGGCACCGGGCCAAUAUCGAAGAGACCAUAUCGGAUGCCUGCAAAUGAUCUGGAGGAAAUUAAGAAACAGGUUAAGAAGUUAUUGGAGAAAGGUUAUAUUCGACCAAGUUCAUCACCGUGGGGAGCCCAAGUACUUUUAGUUGAGAAGAAGGAUGGAUCUUUGAGAAUGGUUGUGGAUUGUCGUGCACUGAAUGAGGUGAUGAUCAAGAACAAAUACCCACAACCGAUGAUCAAUGAUUUGUUUGACCAAUUGCAGGGAGCUAAAGUAUUCUCCAAGAUCAAUCUUCGAUCAGGAUACCACCAGCUGAAGAUCCAAGAACAUGAUAUACCUAAGACAGCUUUUACCACAAGGUACGGGCUAUAUGAGUACACUGUCAUGUCUUUUGGUUUGACUAAUGCCCCUGCCUACUUUAUGAGUAUGAUGAAUAAGGUGUUCAUGGAGUUCUUGCAUAAGUUUGUUGUGGUGUUCAUUGAUGAUAUAUUGGUAUACUCAAAGAAUGAAGAAGAACACAAAGAACAUUUGCGCUUAGUUCUCGAGAAGCUCAGGGAACAUCAAUUGUAUGCCAAGUUCAGCAAAUGUGAGUUUUGGUUGAAGGAAGUUGGAUUUCUCGGACAUGUUAUAUCAGGAGAAGGUAUAGCAGUAGACCCUUCCAAGGUUCAGUCUGUCACUGAGUGGCUGGCACCCACCUCAGUUGGAGAGAUACACAGUUUUCUUGGACUCGCAAGAUAUUACCGAAGAUUCAUUGAGAAUUUUUCCAAGAUCGCGAAGCCCCUGAUGGAGUUAUUGAAGAAGGACACCAAGUUUAAAUGGACCAAGGAAUGUGAGGCCAGUUUUUAGGAGUUGAAGAAACGUUUAGUUACAACCCCCGUGCUAAUUCUUCUGGAUAUAUGCAAGGAUUUCCAAGUAUAUUGCGAUGCUUCUCGCCAGGGACUUGGAGGUGUACUUAUGCAAGACGGAAUAGUUGUUUCAUAUGCCUCACGUCAGCUUCUACCUCAUGAGUUGAAUUAUGCCACGCACGAUUUGGAGUUAGCAGCCGUAGUGCAUGCGCUCAAGACCUGGAGACAUUUUCUUAUUGGAAACCGUUGUGAUGUAUACACGGAUCAUAAGAGUUUGAAGUACAUCUUCACAUAGAAGGAUUUGAACCUCAGGCAGAGGAGAUGGUUGGAGCUUAUAAAGGAUUAUGAUAUGAAGCUGCAUUAUCAUCCAGGAAAGGCCAAUGUUGUAGUAGACACUUUGAGCCACAAGAGUUAUGUUAAUACUCUGUAACCGGAGGAUUGCCGCAAGAGUAAUUCGAUGAUCUCAGAGAACUUCAAAUGAAGAUAGUUCCGAGAGAUUUUGUUGCAUCGUUAGAAGUUUAGUCCACAUUGUUUGGAAAGAUACGAGAAGCCCAGAAAACUGAUAAGGACAUUGCGGAGAUAAAGGAAAAGAUGAGUAUAGGAAAGGCCAAAGGCUUUCGUGAGGAUGAACACGAAACUUUAUGGUUUGAGGAUCGUAUUUAUGUGCCCAAUGAUUUAGAGAUCAGGAAGUUAAUACUUCAGGAAGCUCAUGACUCGCCAUACUCGAUUCACCCAUGAAACACCAAGAUGUAUUUGGAUUUGAAGGAGCGUUUCUGGUGGACAAGAAUGAAGAAGGAUAUUGCCGAGUAUGUAGCCGUAUGUGACGUAUGUCAGAGAGUUAAGGCAGAGGAUCAGAAGCCAGCAGGACUGCUUCAGCCUUUGUCGAUAUCCGAAUGGAAGUGGGAUAAGCUUGGCAUGGAUUUCAUCACCAGAUUACCCAAGACACGAUCAGGCUAUGACUCUAUUUGGGUAGUAGUUGAUCGCUUGACCAAAGUGGCUCACUUUAUCCCCAUGAAAACCACUUAUACGAGCGAGAAGUUGGCCAAGAUAUAUAUGACCAGGAUUGUAUGUUUGCAUGGAGUUUCGAGGACCAUCGUAUCAGAUAAAGGAACACAGUUUACCUCAAAGUUUUGGAAUCAAUUACACCAGACUUUGGGUACUAGGCUAGAGUUCAGUACACCCUUUCAUCCGUAGAUAAAUGGGCAGACCGAGAGAGUGAAUCAGAUUCUGGAGGACAUGUUGAGAGCUUGUGCUCUAGAUUAUGGAUCUAGUUGGGAUGAUAAUUUGCCCUACGUAGAGUUCUCAUAUAACAAGAGCUACCAAGCCAGUUUGAAGAUGGCCCCUUUCGAAGCUUUUUAUGGAAGGAGGUGCAGGACACCAUUGAUGUGGGAUGAAGUUGGACACCGACAAUUGUUCGGAGAAGAUUUAAUCAAAGAGUCUGAAGAGAAGGUUAAGUUGAUUUGUGAUAGACUGAAGGUAGCUCAGUCUAGGCAGAAGAGUUAUGCUAACACUAAACGCAAGGAGGUAGCCUAUGAAGUCGGAGACAGAGCAUAUCUCCGUGUGUCACCACUUCGAGGAGUUAAACGAUUUGGAGUCAAAGGAAAGUUAGCACCGCGAUUUGUAGGACCAUACCGAGUUGUGGAACAUAUGGCUGAAGUAGCCUACAAGUUGGAGUUACCUGAAAGUUUGUCAAGAGUUCAUGAUGUGUUUAACGUUUCCCAGUUGAAGAAGUGCCAUGCACAGAUGGCCGAUAUCCCUCUGAGAGAUACAGUGCCCCUGGAAGCAAUUCAGUUGGAGAUUGACCUAACCUAUGAGGAGAAACCUGUCAAGAUUCUCGAGUUCGGCAACUGAGUUACACGCAGUAAGGUCAUCAAGUUUUGCACACUUCAUUGGAGCCACCAUACCGAGGAAGAAGCCAUCUGGGAGAGAGAAGAAGACAUAUGGAAAGACCACCCACACCUAUUUGCUAGCCAACCCAAAUCUUGAGGGCGAGAUUCAUCUUAAGGGGGGUAGGUUUGUAACAUCCCAAUUUUCAAUUUGGAUGUUAAUCAUUAGGUCAUCAUAUGCAUUCAGGAUUUUUGCAUUUUGAAUUUGGUUUAUUUGGACAUUUUGAUCCUAGAGACCUUAAGCAACUCAAGGACCAUUUGAGAGAGUUGGAGGUUUUCAUAAAAUUCCAUUUUUAAAAUUUUCAAAGUUGGUAAUUUGGAUCAAAGUGAUUUUAUUUGAAAUUAUUUCUCCAAUUAUUUCAAAAUAAAUAAAAUAAUGAGAGAAGAUAAUACAACUUCUUCAAAACAACCAGGAAAUAAUGGAAAUUUAAUUUUGAAUAAAAAUGUAUUUUAUUUGAAAUUUUAUUCGGUUAAAUUAGGGAAAAAUAUGCAUUUUAAAAAAAUUGCAUUUAGCCCAGAAAAAUGUUCACUUUGUCCUAAAUAUUAGGAGAGGACCGUGAAAAUUAUUUUUGGAAUUUUUGGAUUUUUAUUUUAUUUUAUUUUUGAUUUUUCACAGCGGCGAGAUUAUUUUUUAAAAAAAUUCGGACCGACUGGGCCGAAGCCCAGCCGGCCUAGCGCGCCACCGCCUUCCCCGCUGUCCUGGAUCCGGACUCCGCCGGAGUCCGACGCCGCCACGCCACCGCAGCCGCCCCCUCCUCCAAGCCGCGCCUCCCCGGGCCCCUUUAAAGGCCGAGGCCACCCCCCCUCUCCCCUCAAGCUACGCCACCACAUCCCGCCGCACUACCGCGACGCCGCUGUCCGAGCCACCUCGCCUCGCUGUCGCCUCCUGCGCUGCCCGCAUCGCCGCCCCGCGCCGCUAGCCGCAGACUCGCCGUCGCCCCGCACCACCUUGCCACUACCGAACCGCCCCGCCCUCGCCGGAGUUGCCGCCGUCGCCGGUCCUUUUCCCCUGAACCGGUAUAAACCACUAAAACCGGCCCGCCUUUUUUAGUUCAUUUUAUUUUUUUAGAUCGGUUUAUUUAUUAAAUUAAGUUAAUUAGUGAACGUUCACCCGAUUAGUUUUGUUAACGAACAAAAUUGUUCAUUAGUUUCUGUUAGCGAAUGUUCAUCCGGUAGAUUUUUCUUUUUAGUCUAAUUUUCAGCCAGGGACCUAUCCGUAAUUAUUUCCAUCAUAGAUUAGUCCCUGAUCUUUAAACCCUCACUAUUUUUUGCUCAUUUGUCCAAAUCUAGUGGAACCAACGCCAAAAUCUUCGUCUUGUUCCCCUCUAUCGAGAUAACAUGUUUUUGGAAAUUUAAAAUUUGGUUUCAAGAAGAUUUGAAUUUGAACUUCUUUUGACCAUAGUUUCUGUUUCGUAACUCUGAUUUGAUUGAUUCUUUUUGUAAAUCGAAUCUCUCCACUUGAACUUUCUGUUUAGAUCUUUUCUUUUGGUUUUACCUUCCCAUCUUAUGCUUGAGUGCUUAUGUAUGUUAUUGUUUGUUCACAUAUAGUUUCCGGAGUGCGAGGCUUGCUACUACGAAUCGCUAGGGUUUUCCGAUCGUCAGGAAGGCAAGUAACACUUUGAUCAUAUCCCUUUAUUACACAAUUUUUAUGCAUUAGUUUCAACCCUCAAACAUUGCAUGAGUAGGAUUUUAAUAACAUGUGGGUAUGGGAAGUAGUUGAUGAGGUAGGAACUUAUUGUCUUUUAUCAAACCCCGGGUAUUGUACAUUAUGCUUAUACUACUUUGCUAUGCUCGUAGACGUGGGUUGGUAUGUGAGAUUCGUGAAAGAUGUGAGAGUUAUAUAUAACUAAGGGAAACUUAAGGUGGGUACUUUAAUACACAUCUGGGUGGAUUGGUUGUGGGCACCUGGGGAUAUACCAUUGUUGUCCUAGGAGAUCCCGGGGUACCCGUGUGAUCCUCCUAUGGAAUGCCACCCAUGCUCAAAGGGAUCAUAAGAUUAUUCAUGCUAGAAACUUCCGUCUGCAGCCACAAGCCGUUAUGGGCUCUGGCAUAGUUGAGUAAGUUGUGGGAAUCGUUUCCAUGAUGGUCUAGCAGAUGUAGGGGAUUGUAGGUGUACCGGCCUAUCUAUCGGUUAAGGGGACCUCUUCGAAAAGACUGUGUCUCGAUCAUCUGUUUCUCAAACAUCAUGUAGUGCAAGAAAUACAAUGGAGGAGAUCGAGUCUUGUGCGGAAAAGUGCGAAAACCUCUGCAGAAUGUAUAAACUAAUCAUGGUUAGCUGUGUCCCCGGUUAUGGACAUCUUGAAUAUCCGGUACUUGAAUUAUUGUUUUGAUCUCAUCACUUUACUUAACUAAUUUAUUGGGUUGUUAAUAUUAUUUUGGGAAUUGAGUUGGGGGUACCUUCUCAAUAAUGUCAUAAAACUUUGUAGCUAAAUAAAAUCUAUUCCUUUAUUGUAGGGAAAAAUUAGCUUUAUGCAAAUGAUAACCAUAGAGCCUCCACCAGCCAAAUAUGCAUGUAGUGAUAGUUGUUAUUUGUUCACUGCUCUAUAGUGUUAUUUUGCCAGCAUAUUCCAUGUGCUGACCUACACGGCUGCAACGUAUCAUGUUGCAGAGUUUUCAGACGAAGAGUAAGGUGCGAUAGGUCGUUGUCAUGCACUUGGUUUUGCCGUGGAGUUCGAUGGACUCAUUUAUAUUCGAAGCUUCCGCAGUUAUCUUAAUUAGAUGGCCUUCAGCCAUAUUAUUGUAAUAAGUACUCUAUUUGAGACACUCGUUGUAAUCAGUGUGUGAUUGAACUCUGCAAUAAAUCCUCGAGUACUAUGUGUGUCGGCAAUACCGAUCCAGGGAUGACACUUAAGCACGGAGACUACGGUCCAUUGGGAUCGGGUCGCUACAUUUUUCUUGAAAGUAGUGGUCUUGUUAACCAUCAACACUUGAUGCUCUUUCUUGAUUUCUACCUUCGCCGAUUUCAGCAUUUCGAAGAGCUCUGGAAUUGUCUUAUCCAUCCCUUGCGUAUUAUAGUUCAUCAUGAAGCCUUUGUAGCUUGGUGGCAGUGAUUGGAGAACUCUGUCAAUCACUAUCUUAUAUGGAAGAUUAAUUCCCACUUGAUUCAAGUGAUUGUAGUACCCAGACAUUCUGAGCACAUGCUCACUAGUUGAACUAUUCUCCUCCAUCUUGUAGGCAAAGUACUUGUCAGAGGUCUCAUACCUCUCGACAUGGGCAUGAGUCUGAAAUACCAAUUUCAGCUCUUGGAACAUCUCAUAUGCUCUGUGGCAUUCAAAACAUUUUUUAAGUCCCAGUUCUAAGCCGCAAAGCAUGUCACACUAAACUAUCAAGUAGCCAUCAUACCGAGCUUGUCAAACAUUCAUAACGUCUGCAUCAGCUCCAGCAACAUGUCUGUCACCUAGCAGUGCAUCAAGGACAUAAUUCUUCUAUGCAGCAAUGAGGAUAAUCCUCAGACCACUGAUCCAAUCUGCAUCAUUGCUACUAUCAUCUGUCAACUUAGUUUUAUCUAGGAACAUAUCAAAAACAUAGGGGAGCUAUAAUGCGAGCCAUUGAUCUACAACAUAAUUUGCAAAUACUAUCAGGACUAAGUUCAUGAUAAAUUAAAGUUCAAUUAAUCAAAUUACUUAAGAACUCCCACUUAGAUAGACAUCCCUCGAGUCAUCUAAAUGAUUACGUGAUCCAAAUCAACUAAACCAUGUCCGAUCAUCCCAUGAGAUGGAGUAGUUUUCAAUGGUGAACAUCUCUAUGUUGAUCAUAUCUACUAUAUGAUUCACGUUUGACCUUUCGGUCUCCGAUGUUCUGAGGCCAUGUCUCUACAUGCUAGGCUCGUCAAGUUUAACCCGAGUAUUCCACAUAUGCAAAAUUGUAUUGCACCCGUUGUAUGUGAACGUAGAGCUUAUCACACCCGAUCAUCACAUGGUGUCUCAGCACGACGAACUAUCACAACGGUGCAUACUCAGGGAGAAGACUUAUACCUAUAAAUUAUAGUAAGGGAUCAUCUUAUAAUGCUACCGUCGUACUACACAAAAUAAGAUGCAUAAUAGAUAAACAUCACAUGCAAUCAAAAUAUGUGACAUGAUAUGGCCAUCAUCAUCUUGUGCCAUUGAUCUCCACCUCCAAAGCACCGUCAUGACCUCCAUCGUCACCGGCUUGACACCUUGAUCUCCAUUGUAGUGUCGUGGUCGUCUCUCUAACUAUUGCUUCUACAACUAUCGCUAACGCAUAGUGAUAAAGUAAAGCAAUUAUUGUUGGGGAAUGUAGUAAUUUCAAAAUUUUCCUACGCACACGCAAGAUCAUGGUGAUGCAUAGCAACGAGAGCGGAGAGUAUUGUCCACGUACCCUCGUAGACCGUUAAGCAGAAGCGUUAUGACAACGCGGUUGAUGUAGUCGUAUGUCUUCACGAUCGACUGAUCCUUAGUACCGAACGUACGACACCUCCGCGUUCAGCACACGUUUAGCUCAGUGACGUCCUGCGAACUCACGAUCUAGUACAGCUCGAGGGAGAGUUUCAUCAGCAUGACGGCGUGGUGACGAUGUUGAUGAAGCUACUGACGCAGGGCUUCGCCUAAGCACCGCUACGAUAUGAUCGAGGUGGAUUAUGGUGGAGGGGGGCACCGCACACGGCUGGGAGAGAUCAAUGAUCAACUUGUGUGUCCUAGGGUGCCCCCUGCCCCCGUAUAUAAAGGAGAAAGGGGGAGGCCGGCCGGCCCUGUAGGGCACGCCAGGAGGAGGAGUCCUCCUCCUAGUAGGAGUAGGACUCCCCUCUUUCCUACUCCUACUAGGAGGGGGAAAGGAAGGGGGAGAAGGAGAAGGAAAGGGGGGUGCCGCCCCCCUUCCAAGUCCAAUUCGGACCAAACGGGGAGGGGGCGCGCGGCCUGCCCUGGCCGGCCCCUCUCUCUCUCCAGUAGGGCCCAACAAGGCCCAUUAAUCCCUGGGGGUUCCAUUAACCCCUCCGGCACUCCGGUAAAAUCCCGAUUUCACCCGGAACUCUUCUGAUGUCCAAAUGUAGGCUUCCAAUAUAUCAAUAUUUAUGUCUCGACCAUUUAGAGACUCCUCGUCAUGUCCGUGGUUAUAUCUGAGACUCUGAACUAACCUUGGUACAUCAAAACAUAUAAACUCAUAAUACCGAUCGUCAUAGAACUUUAAGCAUGCGGACCCUACGGGUUCGAGAACUAUGUAGACAUGAGCGAGACACGUCUCCGGUUAAAAACCAAUAGCGGAACCUGGAUGAUCAUAUUGGUUCCUACAUAUUCUACGAAGAUCUUUAUCGGUCAAACCACAUAACAAUAUACGUUGUUCCCUUUGUCUUCGGUAUGUUACUUGCCCGAGAAUCGAUCGUAUGUAUCUCAAUAUCCAGUUCAAUCUCAUUACCGGCGAGUCUCUUUACUCGUUUCGUAAUGCAUCAUGCUGCAACUAACUCAUUGGAAACAUUGCUUGCAAGGCUUAUAGUGAUGUGCAUUACCAAGAGGGCCCAGAGAUACCUCUCCGACAAUCGGAGUGCCAAAUCCUAUUCUUGAUCUAUGCCAACUCCACGAACACCAUCGGAGACACCUGUAGAGCAACUUUAUAAUCACCCAGUUAUGUUGUGACGUUUGGUAUCACACAAAGUGUUCCUCCGGUAUUCGGGAGUUGCAUAAUCUCAUAGUCAUAGGAACAUGUAUAUGUCAUGAAGAAAGAAAUAGCAGUAAACUAAACGAUCAAGUGCUAAGCUAACGGAAUGGGUCAAGUCAAUCACAUCAUUCUCCUAAUGAUGUGAUCCCAUUGAUCAAAUGACAACUCAUGUCUAUGGCUAGGAAACUCAACCAUCUUUGAUCAAUGAGCUAGUCAAGUAGAGGCAUACUAGUGACACUAUGUUUGUCUAUGUAUUCACACAUAUAUUAUGUUUCCGGUUAAUACAAUUCUAGCAUGAAUAAUAAACAUUUAUCAUGAUAUGAGGAAAUAAAUAAUAACUUUAUUAUUGCCUCUAGGGCAUAUUUCCUUCAGUUUCCCACUUGCACUAGAUUCAAUAAUCUAGAUUACACAGUAAUGAUUCUAACACCCAUGGAGUCUUGGUACUGAUCAUGUUUUGCUCGUGGAAGAGGCUUAGUCAAUGGGUCUGCAACAUUCAAAUCUAUAUGUAUCUUGCAAAUAUCUAUGUCUCCCACUUGGACUUGAUCCUGGAUGGAAUUGAAGCAUCUCUUGAUGUGCUUGGUUCUUUUGUGUAAUCUGGAUUCCUUUACCAAGGCAAUUGCACCAGUAAUGUCAUAAAAGAUUUUCAUUGGACCCGAUGCACUAGGUAUGACACCUAGAUCGGAUAUGAACUCCUUCAUCCAGACUCCUUCAUUUGCUGCUUCUGAAGCAGCUAUGUACUCCACUUCACACGUAGAUCCCGCCACGAUGCUUUGUUUAGAACUGCUCCAACUAACAGCUCCAUCGUUUAAUAUAAGCACGUAUCCGGUUUGCGAUUUAGAAUCGUCCGGAUCAGUGUUAAAGCUUGCAUCGACGUAACCAUUUACAACGAGCUCUUUGUCACCUCCAUAAAUGAGAACCAUAUCCUUAGUCUUUUUCAGGUAUUUCAGGAUGUUCUUGACUGUCGUCCAGUUAUCCACUCCUGGAUUACUUUGGUACCUCCCUGCUAAACUAAUAGCAAGGCACACACCAGGUAUGGUACACAGCAUUGCAUACAUGAUAGAGCCUAUGGCUGAAGCAUAGGGAACACUUUUCAUUUUCUCUCUAUCUUCUGCAAUGGUCGGGCAUUGAGUCUUACUCAACUUCACACCUUGUAACACAGGCAAGAACCCUUUCUUUGCUUGAUCCAUUUUGAACUUCUUCAAAACUUUAUCAAGGUAUGUGCUUUGUGAAAGUCCAAUUAAGCGUCUUGAUCUAUCUCUAUAGAUCUUGAUGCCUAAUAUAUAAGCAGCUUCUUUGAGGUCUUUCAUUGAAAAACUUUUAUUCAAGUAUCCUUUUAUGCUAUCCAGAAAUUCUAUAUCAUUUCCAAUCAACAAUAUGCCAUCCAUAUAUAAUAUUAGAAAUGCUACAGAGCUCCCACUCACUUUCUUGUAAAUACAGGCUUCUCCAAAAGUCUGUAUAAAACCAUAUGUUUUGAUCACACUAUGAAAACAUUUAUUCCAACUCCGAGAGGCUUGCACCAGUCCAUAAAUGGAUAGCUGGAGCUUGCACAUUUGUUAGCACCCUUCGGAUUGACAAAACCUUCUGGUUGUGUCAUAUAGAACUCUUCUUCCAGAAAUCCAUUCAGGAAUGCAGUUUUGACAUCCAUUUGCCAAAUUUCAUAAUCAUAAAAUGCGGCAAUUGCUAACAUGAUUCGGACAGACUUAAGCAUCGCUACGGGUGACAAAGUCUCAUCGUAGUCAUGUUGGGGAACGUAGCAGAAAUUCAAAAUUUUCCUACGUGUCACCAAGAUCUAUCUAUGGAGAGACCAGCAACGAGGGGAAGGAGAGUGCAUCUACAUACCCUUGUAGAUCGCUAAGCGGAAGCGUUCUGGAGAACGGGGUUGAAGGAGUCGUACUCAUCGUGAUCCAAAUCACCGGAGAUCCUAGUGCCGAACGGACGGCACCUCCGUGUUCAACACACGUACAACCCGGUGACGUCUCCCAUGCCUUGAUCCAGCAAGGAGAGAGGGAGAGGUUGAGGAAGACUCCAUCCAGCAGCAGCACAACGGUGUGGUGGUGGUGGAGGAGCAUGGUGAUCCAGCAGGGCUUCGCCAAGCACCGCGAGAUAUGAGGAGAAAGAGAGGUAGGGCUGCGCCAACAAGAGAAGAAACUUCGUCUAUGGGCUGCUCCUUUGCCUCCACUAUAUAUAGUGGGAGAGGGGGGGCUGCGCCCCCACCUAGGGUUCCACCCUAGGGGCGGCGGCCAGCCCAGAUCCCAUCUAGUGGGGCGGCCAAGGGGAGGGGGAGAGGGAGGCGCACCAGGCAUGGGCCCUAAGGCCCAUCUGCCCUUAGGGUUUGCCCCCUCCUCCCCUUAGGCGCCUUGGGCCCUUGUGGGGGGGCGCACCAGCCCAACUGGGGCUGGUCCACUCCCACACUUGGCCCAUGAAGCCCUUCGGGGCCGGUGGCCCCACUUGGUGGACCACCGGGACCCUCCUGGUGGUCCCGGUACGUUACCGAUAAAACCCGAAACUUUUCUGGUGACCAAAAUAGGACUUCCCAUAUAUAAAUCUUUACCUCGGGACCAUUCCGGAACUCCUCGUGACAUCUGGGAUCUCAUCCGAGCCUCCGAACAACAUUCAGUAACCACAUACAAACUUCCUUUAUAACCCUAGCGUCAUCGAACCUUAAGUGUGUAGACCCUACGGGUUCGGGAACCUUGCAGACAUGACCGAGACGUCCUCCGGUCAAUAACCAAUAGCGGGAGCUGGAUACCCAUGUUGGUUCCCACAUGUUCCAUGAUGAUCUCAUCGGAUGAACCACGACGUCGAGGAUUCGAUCAAUCCCGUAUACAAUUCCCUUUGUCUAGCGGUACGAUACUUGCCCGAGAUUCGAUUGUCGGUAUCCCGAUACCUUGUUCAAUCUCAUUACCGGCAAGUCUCUUUACUCGUUCCGUAACACAUCAUCCCAUGAUCAACUCCUUGAUCACAUUGUGCACAUUAUGAUGAUGUCCUAUCGAGUGGGCCCAGAGAUACCUCUCCGUUUACACGGAGUGACAAAUCCCAGUCUCAAUUCGUGCCAACCCAACAGACACUUUCAGAGAUACCUGUAGUGUACCUUUAUAGCCACCCAAUUACGUUGUGACAUUUGGCACACCCAAAGCACUCCUACGGUAUCUAGGAGUUGCAUAAUCUCAUGGUCUAAGGAAAGGAUACUUGACAUUAGAAAAGCUUUAGCAUACGAACUACAUGAUCUUGUGCUAGGCUUAGGAUUGGGUCUUGUCCAUCACAUCAUUCUCCUAAUGAUGUGAUCCCAUUAUCAACGACAUCCAAUGUCCAUGGUCAGGAAACCGUAACCAUCUAUUGAUCAACGAGCUAGUCAACUAGAGGCUUACUAGGGACAUGGUGUUGUCUAUGUAUCCACACAUGUAUCUGAGUUUCCUAUCAAUACAAUUCUAGCAUGGAUAAUAAACGAUUAUCAUGAACAAGGAAAUAUAAUAAUAACUAAUUUAUUAUUGCCUCUAGGGCAUAUUUCCAACAGUCUCCCACUUGCACUAGAGUCAAUAAUCCAGUUCACAUCGCUAUGUGAUUAACACUCAAGGUCACAUCCCAUGUGACUAACACCCAAAGAGUUCUGCGUUUGAUCAUGUUAUGCUUGUGAGAGAGGUUUCAGUCAACGAGUCUGCAACAUUCAGAUCCGUAUGUACUUCGCAAAUUUCUAUGUCAUCUUGUGGAUGCAACUACUAUGCUACAUUUGGAGCCAUUUCAAAUAACUAUUCUACUUGGAGCUAUUCUAAAUUGUUGCUCCAUUAUACGUAUCCGGUAUCUCUACUCAGAGCUAUUCGGAUAGGUGUUAAGCUUGCAUCGACGUAACUCUUUACGUCAAACUCUUUAUCACCUCCAUAACCGGGAAACAUAUCCUUAUUCCUCUAAGGAUAAUUUAGACCGCUAUCUGGUGAUCUACUCCUAGAUUACCUUUGUACCCUCUUGCCAGAUAUGUGGCAAGGCACACAUCAGGUGCGGUACUUAGCAUGGCACACCGUAUAGAGCCUAUGACAAAAGCAUAGGGGACGACCUUUGUCCUUCCUCUUUCUUCUGCCGUGGUCGAGCUUUAAGUCUUAACUUCAUACCUUACAACUCAGGCAAGAACUCCUUCUUUGACUGAUCCCUUGAACACCUUUAAGAUCAUGUCAAGGUAUGUGCUCAUUUGAAAGUACCAUUAAGCGUUUUGAUCUAUCCUCAUAGAUCUUAAUGCUCAACGUUCAAGUAGCUUAAUCCAGGUUUUCCAUUGAAAAACACUUUUCAAAUAACUCUGCAUGCUUUCCAGAAAUUCUACGUCAUUUCUGAUCAACAAUAUGUCAACAACAUAUAUUCAUCAGAAAUUCUAUAGUGCUCCCACUCACUUCUUUGGAAAUACAAGUUUCUCAUAAACUUUGCAUAUACCCAAAAUCUUUGAUCAUCUCAUCAAAGCAUACAUUCCAACUCCGAGAUGCUUACUCCAGUCCUUAGAAGGAUUGCUGGAGCUUUGCAUACUUGUUAGCAUCUUUUAGGAUUGACAAAACCUUCUAUUGUAUCACAUACAACUUUUCUUAGGAAAACUUGGUAAGAAAACUUGUUUUGACAUCCAUCUGUAAGAUUUCAUAAUCGAAAAAUACAGCUAAUCCUAACAUGAUUCCGACGAACUUAAGCAUCGCUACGGGUGAGAAAUUCUCAUCGUAGUUAACUCCUUGAACUUGUCAGAAAAACAUCUUAACGACAAGUCGAGCUUUCUUAAUGGUGAUACUUACCAUCAUUAUCCGUCUUCCUUUUAAAAUCCAUAUGUACCUAACAGCCUUACGACCAUCAAGUAGUUCUUCCAAAGUCUACACUUUGUUUUCAUAUAUGGAUCCUCUCUCGGAUUAUAUGGCCUCGAGCCAUUUUGGAAUCCAGGCCCACCAUCGCUUCUCCAUAGCUCGUAGGUUCAUUGUUGUCUAGCAACAUGACUUCCAAGACAGGAUUACAUACCACUCUGAAGUAGUACGCAUCCUUGUCAUCCCACAAGGUUUGGUAGUGACUUGAUCUGAAGUUUCAUGAUCACUAUCAUAAGCUUCUACUUCAAUUGGUGUAGGUGCCACAGGAACAACUCCCUGUGCCCUGCCACACACUAGUUGAAGAGACGGUUCAAUAACCUCAUCAAGUCUCCACCAUCCUCCCACUCAAUUCUUUCGAGAGAAACUUUUCCUCGAGAAAGGACCCGAUUCUAGAAACAAUCCCUUAUUGUUUUCGAAUCUGAGACAAGAGGUAUACCCAACUGUUUUGGGUGUCCUAUGAAGAUGCAUUUAUCCGCUUUGGGUUCGAGCUUAUCAGCCUGAAACUUUUUCACAUAAGCGUCGCAGCCCCAAACUUUUAAGAAAUGACAGCUUAGGUUUCUCUAAACCAUAGUUCAUACGGUGUCAUCUCAUCGGAAUUACGUGGUGCCUUAUUUAAAGUGAAUGUGGUUGUCUCUAAUGCCUAACCCAUAAACUAUCAUGGUAAUUCGAUAAGAGACAUCAUGGUAUGCAUCAUAUCCAAUAGGGUGCAGUUAUGAUGUUCGGACACACCAUCACACUAUGGUGUUCCAGGCUGUAUUAGUUGCAAAAAAAUUUCCACAAUGUCUUAAUUCUGUGCCAAACUCGUAAUUCAGAUAUUCAUCUCUAUGAUCAUAUCAUAGAUAUUUUAUCCUCUUGUCACGACGAUCUGUCACCUUCACCCUGAAAUUACUUGAACCUUUCAAUAAUUCAGACUCGUGAUUCAUCAAGUAAAUAUACUCAACAUCUACUCAAAUCAUCUGUGAAGUAAGAAUAUAAUGAUAUCCACUAUACGCCUCAACACUCAUUGGACUGCACACAUCAAAAUGUAUUACUUCCAACAAGUUGCUUUCUAGUUCCAUUUUACUGAAAACAAGGCUUUCAGUCAUCUUGCCCAUGUGGUAUGAUUUGCAUGUCUCAAGUGAUUCAAAAUCAAGUGAGUCCAAACGAUCCAUCUGUAUAGAGUUUCUUCAUGCAUAUCUACCAACAAACAUGGUUUGCAUGUCUCGAUCCUUUCAAAAAUGAGUGAGUCCAAAGAUCCAUCAACAUGGAGCUUCUUCAUGCGUUUUAUACCAAUAUGACUCAAAUUGCAGUGCCACAUUUGUGUGGUAUUAUCAUUACUAUCUUAUACCUUUGGCAUGAAAAUGUGUAUCACUAUGACCGGGAUGGUAUUAUUCAAAUAAACAGAGUAACCAUUAUUCUCCUUAAAUGAAUAACCGUAUCACGAUAGACAUAAUCCAAUCAUGUCUUUGCUCAACGCAAACACCAAUCUCGAUGGUAGAGGGAGCGUGCGAUGUUUGGUCAACCUUGGAAAUACUUCCAACACAUAUCGUCAUCUCACCUUUUAGCUAGUCUCCGUUUAUUCCGUAGCCUUUUGUUUCGAGUUACUAACACUUAGCAACCGAACCGGUAUCUAAUACCCUGGUGCUACUAGGAGUACUAGUAAAGUACACAUUAUAAUGCAUAUCCAAUAUACUUCUGUCGACCUUGCCAGCCUUCUCUACUACCAAGUAUCUAGGGUGGUUCUGCUUCAGUGACUGUUCCCCUUAUUACAGAAGCACUUAGUCUCGGGCUUGGGUUCAACUUUGGGUUUCUUCACUAGAACAGCAGCUGAUUUGCCGUUUCAUGAAGUAUCCCUUCUUGCCCUUGCCCUUCUUGAAACUAGUGGUUUCACCAACCAUCAACAAUUGAUGCUCCUUCUUGAUUUCUACUUUUGUGGUGUCAAACAUCGCGAAUAUCUCAAGGAUCAUCAUAUAUGUCCCUGUUAUAUUAUAGUUCAUCAUGAAGCUCUAGCAACUUGGUGGUAAUGACUUCGGAGAACCAUCACUAUUUCAUCUGGAAGAUCAACUCCCACUCGAUUCAAGCGAUUGUUGUACUCAAACAAUCUGAGCACAAGCUCAACAAUUGAGCUUUUCUCCCUUAGUUUGCAGGCUAAGAAAAUCGCCGGAGGUCUUAUACCUCUUGACGUGGGCACGAGCCUGAAAUCCCAAUUUUAGCCCUCGAAACAUCUCAUAUGUUUCGUGACGUUUUAAAACGUCUUCGGUGCCUCAUCUCUAAACCGUUUAACUGAACUAUCACGUAGUUAUCAAAAUGUGUAUGUCAGAUGUUCACAACAUCCACAGACGACGUUCGAGGUUCAGCACACUGAGCGGUGCAUUAAGGACAUAAGCCUUCUACUGUCUGCAUAAUUGCUACUAUCAACUUUCAACUAAUUUUUCUCUAGGAACAUAUCUAAACAGUAGAACUAAAGCGUGAGCUAUGACAUAAUUUGCAAAAUCCUUUUGACUAUGUUCAGGAUAAACAAGUUCAUCUUAUGAACUCCCACUCAGAUAGACAUCCCUCUAGUCAUCUAAGUGAUUACAUGAUCCGAGUCAACUAAGCCGUGUCCGAUCAUCACGUGAGACAGACUAGUCAUCAUCGGUGAACAUCUUCAUGUUGAUCGUAUCUACCAUACGACUCAUGCUCGACCUUUCGGUCUCUUGUAUUCUGAGGCCAUGUCUGUACAUGCUAGGCUCGUCAAGUUAACCUAAGUGUUUCGCAUGUGUUUCGAGGCCAUGUCUGUACAUGCUAGGCUCGUCAACACCCGUUGUAUUCGAACGUAAGAAUCUAUCACACCCGAUCAUCACGUGGUGCUUAGAAACGACGAACUUUCGCAACGGUGCACAGUUGGGGGGAACACUUUCUUGAAAUUUUAAUGAGGGAUCAUCUUAUUUACUACCGUUGUUCUAAGAAAAUAAGAUGCAAAAACAUGAUAAACAUCACAUGCAAUCAAAAAAACAGUGACAUGAUAUGGCCAAUAUCAUAUAGCUCCUUUGAUCUCCAUCUUGGGGUUCCAUGAUCAUCUUGUCACCGGCAUGACACCAUGAUCUCCAUCAUUGUGUCUCCAUGAAGUUGUCUCGCCAACUUAUUACUCCUACUACUAUGGCUACCGGUUAGCAAUAAAGUAAAGUAAUUACAUGGCGUUGCUCAAUGACACACAGGUCAUACAAUAAAUAAAGACAACUCCUAUGGCUCCUGCCGUUUGUCAUACUCAUCGACAUGCAAGUCGUGAUUCCUAUUACAAGAACAUGAUCAAUCUCAUACAUCACAUAUCAUUCAUCACAUUCUUCUUGGCCAUAUCACAUCACAUAGCAUACCCUGCAAAAACAAGUUAAACGUCCUCUAAUUGUUGUUUGCAUGUUUUACGUGGCUGCUAUGGGUUUCUAGCAAGAACGUUUCAUACCUACGCAAAAACCACAAUGUGAUAUGCCAAUUGCUAUUUACCCUUCAUAAGGACCCUUUUCAUCGAAUCCAAUCCGACUAAAGUGGGAGAGACAGACACCCGCUAGCCACCUUAUGCAACUAGUGCAUGUCAGUCGGUGGAACCAGUCUCACGUAAGAGUACGUGUAAGGUCGGUCCGGGCCGCUUCAUCCCACGAUGCCGCCGAAUCAAGAUUGGACUAGUAACGGUAAGCAUAUUGAACAAAAUCAACACCCACAACUACUUUGUGUUCUACUCGUGCAUAGAAACUACACAUAGACCUAGCUCAUGAUGCCACUGUUGGGGAACGUAGCAGAAAUUCAAAAUUUUCCUACGUGUCACCAAGAUCUAUCUAUGGAGAGACUAGCAAGAGGGGAAGGAGAGUGCAUCUACAUACCCUUGUAGAUCGCUAAGCGGAAGCGUUCAAGAGAACGGGGUUGAAGGAGUCGUACUCGUCGUGAUCCAAAUCACCGGAGAUCCUAGUGCCGAACGGACGGCACCUCCGCGUUCAACACACGUACAGCCCGGUGACGUCUCCCAUGCCUUGAUCCAGCAAGGAGAGAGGGAGAGGUUGAGGAAGACUCCAUCCAGCAGCAGCACAACGGCGUGGUGGUGGUGGAGGAGCAUGGUGAUCCAGCAGGGCUUCGCCAAGCACCGCGAGAUAUGAGGAGAAAGAGAGGUAGGGCUGCGCCAACAAGAGAAGAAACUUUGUCUAUGGGCUGCUCCUUUGCCUCCACUAUAUAUAGGGGGAGAGGGGGGGCUGCGCCCCCACCUAGGGUUCCACCCUAGGGGCGGCGGCCAGCCCAGAUCCCAUCUGGUGGGGCGGCCAAGGGGAGGGGGAGAGGGAGGCGCACCAGGCAUGGGCCCUAAGGCCCAUCUGCCCUUAGGGUUUGCCCCCCUCCUCCCCUUAGGCGCCUUGGUCCCUUGUGGGGGGCGCACCAGCCCACCUGGGGCUGGUCCCCUCCCACACUUGGCCCAUGCAGCCCUCCGGGGCCGGUGGCCCCACUUGGUGGACCCCCGGGACCAAAACUGGACUUCCCAUAUAUAAAUCUUUACCUCCGGACCAUUCCGGAACUCCUCGUGACGUCUGGGAUCUCAUCCGGGACUCCGAACAACAUUUGGUAACCACAUACAAACUUCCUUUAUAACCCUUGCAUCAUCGAACCUUAAGUGUGUAGACCCUACGGGUUCAGGAACCUUGCAGACAUGACCGAGACGUCCUCCGGUCAAUAACCAACAGCGGGAUAUGGAUACCCAUGUUGGUUCCCACAUGUUCCACGAUGAUCUCAUCAGAUGAACCACGAUGUCGAGGAUUUGAUCAAUCCCGUAUACAAUUCCCUUUGUCUAGCGGUACGAUACUUGCCCGAGAUUCGAUCGUCGGUAUCCCGAUACCUUGUUCAAUCUUGUUACCGGCAAGUCUCUUUACUCGUUCCGUAACACAUCAUCCCGUGAUCAAUUCCUUGAUCACAUUGUGCACAUUAUGAUGAUGUCCUACCGAGUGGGCCCAGAGAUACCUCUCUGUUUACACGGAAUGACAAAUCCCAGUCUCGAUUUGUGCCAACCCAACAGACACUUUCGGAGAUACCUGUAGUGUACCUUUAUAGCCACCCAGUUACGUUGUGACGUUUGGCACACCCAAAGCACUACUACGGUAUCCGGGAGUUGCACAAUCUCAUGGUCUAAGGAAAUGAUACUUGACAUUAGAAAAGCUUUAGCAUACGAACUACAUGAUCUUGUGCUAGGCUUAGGAUUGGGUCUUGUCCAUCACAUCAUUCUCCUAAUGAUGUGAUCCCGUUAUCAACGACAUCCAAUGUCCAUGGUCAGGAAACCGUAACCAUCUAUUGAUCAACGAGGUAGUCAACUAGAGGCUUACUAGGGACAUGGUGUUGUCUAUGUAUCCACACAUGUAUCUGAGUUUCCUAUCAAUACAAUUCUAGCAUGGAUAAUAAACGAUUAUCAUGAACAAGGAAAUAUAAUAAUAACUAAUUUAUUAUUGCCUCUGGGGCAUAUUUCCAACAAGUCAACCCCUUGAACUUGUUGAAAACCUUUCGCAACAAGUAGAGCUUUCUAGAUAGUAACAUUACCGUCAGCGAUGCUACGGGUGAGAAAGUCUCAUCGUAGUCAACCCCUUGAACUUGUCGAAAACCUUUCGCAACAAGUCGAGCUUUGUAGAUAGUAACAUUACCAUCAGCGUCAGUUUCUUCUUGAAGAUCCAUUUAUUCUCGAUGGCUUGCCAAUUAUCGGGUAAGUCAACCAAAGUCCACACUUUGUUCUCAUACAUGGAUCCCAUCUCAGAUUUCAUGGCCUCAAGCCAUUUUGCGGAAUCUGGGCUCACCAUCGCUUCUUCAUAGUUCGUAGGUUCGUCAUGGUCAAGUAACAUGACUUCCAGAACAGGAUUAUCGUACCACUCUGGUGUGGAUCUUACUCUGCUUGACCUAUGAGGUUCAAUAGUAACAUGAUCUGAAGUUUCAUGAUCAUCAUCAUUAGCUUCCUCACUAAUUGGUGUAGGUGUCACAGGAACCGGUUUCUGUGAUGAACUACUUUCCAAUAAGGGAGCAGGUACAGUUACCUCAUCAAGUUCUACUUCCCUCCCACUCACUUCUUUCGAGAGAAGCUCCUUCUCUAGAAAGGAUCCAUUUUUAGCAAAAGAUGAUUUGCCUUUGGAUCUGUGAUAGAAGGUGUACCCAAUAGUUUCCUUUGGGUAUCCUAUGAAGACACAUUUCUCCGAUUUGGGUUCGAGCUUAUCAGGUUGAAGUUUUUUUCACAUAAGCAUCGCAGCCCCAAACUUUAAGAAAAGACAACUUUGGUUUCUUGCCAAACCACAGUUCAUAAGGCGUCGUCUCAACGGAUUUCGAUGGUGCCCUAUUUAACGUGAAUGCAGCCGUCUCUAAAGCAUAACCCCAAAACGAUAGCGGUAAAUCUGUAAGAGACAUCAUAGAUCGCACCAUAUCUAGUAAAGUACGAUUACGACGUUUGGACACACCAUUAAGCUGUGGUUUUCCGGGUGGCGUGAGUUACGAAACUAUUCCGCAUUGUUUCAAAUGUAGACCAAAUCCGUAACUCAAAUAUUCUCCUCCACGAUCAGAUCAUAGAAACUUUAUUUUCUUGUUACGAUGAUUUUCCACUUCACUCUGAAAUUCAUUGAACUUUUCAAAUGUUUCACACUUAUGUUUCAUUAAGUAGAUAUACCCAUAUCUGCUCAAAUCAUCUAUGAAGGUAAGAAAAUAACGAUACCCGCCGCGAGCCUCAAUAUUCAUUGGACCACAUACAUCAGUAUGUAUGAUUUCCAACAAAUCUGUUGCUCGCUCCAUAGUGCCGGAGAACGGCGUUUUAGUCAUCUUGCCCAUGAGGCAUGGUUCGCAAGUACCAAGUGAUUCAUAAUCAAGUGAUUCAAGAAGUCUAUCACUAUGUAGUUUCUUCAUGCGCUUUACACCAAUAUGACCCAAACGGUAGUGCCACAAAUAAGUUGCACUAUCAUUAUCAACUCUGCAUCUUUUGGCUUCAACAUUAUGAAUAUGUGUAUCAUUACUAUCGAGAUUCAUCAAAAAUAGACCACUCUUCACGGGUGCAUGACCAUAAAAGAUAUUACUCAUAUAAAUAGAACAACCAUUAUUCUUAGAUUUAAAUGAAUAACCAUCUCUCAUCAAACAAGAUCCAGAUAUAAUGUUCAUGCUUAACGCUGGCACCAAAUAAAAAUUAUUCAGGUCUAAAAUUAAUCCCGAAGGUAGAUGUAGAGGUAGCAUGCUGACGGCGAUCACAUCGACUUUGGAACCAUUUCCCACGUGCAUCGUCACCUCAUCCUUAACCAAUCUUCGCUCAAUCCGUAGUCCCUGCUUCGAGUUGCAAAUAUUAGCAACAGAACCAGUAUCAAAUACCCAGGUGCUACUGCGAGCUCUAGUAAGGUACACAUCAAUAACAUGUACAUCACAUAUACCUUUGUUCACCUUGCCAUCCUUCUUAUCCGCCAAAUACUUGGGGCAGUUCCGCUUCUAGUGACCAGUCUGUUUGCAGUAGAAGCAUUCAGUCUCAGGCUUAGGUCCAGACUUGGGUUUCUUCACUUGAGCAGCAACUUGUUUGUCGUUAUUUUUUAAGUUCUCCUUCUUCUUCCCUUUACCCUUUUUCUUGAAACUGGUGGUCUUGUUGACCAUCAACACUUGAUGCUCCUUUUUGAUUUCUACCUCCGCAUUUUAGCAUUGCGAAGAGCUCGGGAAUUGUCUUAUCCAUCCUUUGCAUAUUAUAGUUCAUCGUGAAGCUCUUGUAGCUUGGUGGCAGUGAUUGAAGAACUCUAUCAAUGACACUAUCAACAGGAAGAUUAACUCCCAGUUCAGUCAAGUGAUUAUGGUACCCCAGACAUUCUGAGUAUAUGUUCACUGACAGAACUAUUCUCCUCCAUGUUGCAGCUGUAGAACUUAUUGGAGACUCCAUAUCUCUCAAUCCGGGUAUUUGCUUGAAAUAUUAACUUCAACUCUUGGAACAUCUCAUAUGCUCCAUGACGUUCAAAACAUUGUUGAAGUCCCGGUUCUAAGCCAUAAAGCAUGACACACUGAACUAUUGAGUAGUCAUCAGCUUUGCUCUGCUAGACGUUCUUAACAUCAUCAGCAGCAUCUGCAGCAGGCCAGGCACCCAGCGGUGCUUCCAGGUCGUAAUUCUUCUGUGCAGCAAUGAGGAUAAUCCUCAAAUUACAGACCCAGUCCGUGUAAUUGCUACCAUCAUCUUUCAACUUUCCUUUCUCAAGGAACGCAUUAAAAUUCAACGGAACAACAACACGGGCCAUCUAUCUACAACAACAUAGACAAGAAAAAUACUAUCAGGUACUAAGUUCAUGAUAAAUUUAAGUUCAAUUAAUCAUAUUACUGAAGAAAUCCCACUUAGAUAGGUAUCCCUCUAAUCAUCUAAGUGAUCGCGUGAUCCAAAUCAACUAAACCAUAACCGAUCAUCACGUGAAAUGGAGUAGUUUUCAUUGGUGAACAUCACUAUGUUGAUCAUAUCUACUAUAUGAUUCACACUCGACCUUUCAGUCUCAGUGUUCCAAGGCCAUAUCUACAUAUGCUAGGCUCGCGAUGUUUAACCCGAGUAUUCCGCAUGUGCAAAACUGGCUUGCACCCGUUGUAUAAGAACGUUGAGCUUAUCACACCCGAUCAUCACGUGGUGUCUCGACACGACGAUCUUUUGCAACGGUGCAUACUAAGGCAGAACACUUUUACCUUGAAAUUUAGUGAGAGAUCAUCUUAUAAUGCUACCAUCAAACAAAGCAGAAUAAGAUGCAUAAAGGAUAAACAUCACAUGAAAUCAAUAUAAGUGAUAUGAUAUGGCCAUCAUCAUCUUGUGCCUUUGAUCUCCAUCUCCAAAGCACCGUUAUGAUCACCAUCGUCACCGGCGCGACACCUCGAUCUCCAUCAUAGCAUCGUUGUCGUCUUGCCAACUAUUGCUUCUACGACUAUCGCUACCGCUUAGUGAUAAAGUAAAGCAAUUAUAGGGCGAUUGCAUUGCAUACAAUAAAGCGACAACCAUAUGGCUCCUGCCAGUUGCCGAUAACUCUGUUACAAAACAUGAUCAUCUCAUACAAUAAAAUAUAGCAUCAUGCCUUGACCAUAUCACAUCACAACAUGCCCUGCAAAAACAAGUUAGACAUCCUCUACUUUGUUGUUGCAAGUUUUACGUGGCUGCUACGGGCUGAGCAAGAACCGUUCUUACCUACGCAUGAAAACCACAUUGAUAGUUCUUCAAGUUGGUGCUAUUUUAACCUUCAACAAGGACCGAGCGUAGCCACAUUCAGUUCAACUAAAGUUGGAGAAACUGACACCCGCCAGCCACCUAUGUGCAAAGCACGUCGGUAGAAUCAAUCUCGCGUAAGCGAACGCGUAAUGUCGGUCCAGGCCACUUCAUCCAACAAUACCGCCGAACCAAAGUAUGACAUGCCGGUAAGCAGUAUGACUUGUAUCGCCCACAACUCACUUGUAUUCUACUCAUGCAUAUAACAUCUAUGCAUAAACCUGGCUCGGAUGCCACUGUUGGGGAACGUAGUAAUUUCAAAAUUUUCCUACGCACACGCAAGAUCAUGGUGAUGCAUAGCAAUGAGAGGGGAGAGUAUUGUCCACGUACCCUCGUAGACCAUUUAGCGGAAGCGUUAUGAAAACGUGGUUGAUGUAGUCGUACAUCUUCACGAUCGACCGAUCCUCAGUACCGAACGUACGGCACCUCCAUGUUCAGCACACGUUCAGCUCGGUGACGUCCUAUGAACUCACGAUCCAGUAGAGCUCGAGGGAGAGUUUCAUCAGCAUGACGGCGUGGUGAUGAUGUUGAUGAAGCUACCGACGCAAGGCUUCGCCUAAGCACCGCUACGAUAUGACCGAGGUGGAUUAUGGUGGAGGGGGGCACCGCGCACGGCUAAGAGAGAUCAAUGAUCAACUUGUGUGUCCUGGGGUGCCCCCUGCCCCCGUAUAUAAAGGAGCAUGGGGGAGGCUAGCCGGCCCUAUAGGGCGCGCCAGGAGGAGGAGUCCUCCUCCUAGUAGGAGUAGGACUCCCCUCUUUCCUACUCCUACUAGGAGGGGGAAAGGAAGGAGAAGGAAAAGGAAAGGGGGCGCCCUCCCCCAUCCUAGUCCAAUUCGGACCAGAGGGGGAGGGGGUGCGUGGCCUGCCCUGGCUGGCCCCUCUCUCUCCACUAGGGCCCAACAAGGCCCAUUAACCCCCGGGGGGUUCCGGUAACCCCUCUGGCACUCUGGUAAAAUCCCGAUUUCACCCGAAACUCUUCCGAUGUCCAAAUGUAGGCUUCCAAUAUAUCAAUCUUUAUGUCUCAACCAUUUCGAGACUCCUCGUCAUGUCCGUGAUUAUAUCUGGGACUCCGAAAUACCUUCGGUACAUCAAAACAUAUAAACUCAUAAUACCAAUCGUCACAGAACUUUAAGCGUGCGGACCCUACGGGUUCGAGAACUAUGUAGACAUGACCGAGACACGUCUCCGGUUAAUAACCAAUAGCGGAACAUGGAUGCUCAUUUUGGUUCCUACAUAUUCUACGAAGAUCUUUAUCGGUCAAACCGCAAAAUAACAUACGUUGUUCCCUUUGUCAUCGGUAUGUUACUUGCCCGAGAUUCAAUUGUCGGUAUCUCAAUAUCUAGUUCAAUCUCGUUACCGGCAAGUCUCUUUACUCAUUUCGUAAUGCAUCAUCCUGCAACUAACUCAUUAGUCACAUUGCUUGCAAGGCUUAUAGUGAUGUGCAUUACCGAGAGGCUUAUAGCGAUGUGCAUUACCAAGAGGGCCCAGAGAUACCUCUCCGACAAUCGGAGUGACAAAUCAUAUUCUUGAUCUAUGCCAACUCGAUGAACACCAUCGGAGACACCUGUAGAGCACCUUUAUAAUCACCCAGUUACGUUGUGACGUUUGGUAGCACACAAAGUGUUCCUCCGGUAUUCGGGAGUUGCAUAAUCUCAUAGUCAUAGGAACAUGUAUAAGUCAUGAAGAAAGCAAUAGCAGUAAACUAAACGAUCAAGUGCUAAGCUAACGGAAUGGGUCUAGUCAGUCACAACAUUCUCCUAAUGAUGUGAUCCCAUUGAUCAAAUGACAACUCAUGUCUAUGGCUAGGAAACUCAACGAUCUUUGAUCAACGAGCUAGUCAAGUAGAGGCAUACUAGUGACACUAUGUUUGUCUAUGUAUUCACACAUGUAUUAUGUUUCCAGUUAAUACAAUUCUAGCAUGAAUAAUAAACAUUUAUCAUGAUAUGAGGAAAUAAAUAAUAACUUUAUUAUUGCCUCUAGGGCAUAUUUCUUCAAUUAUAUGGCGUUUGCAUUUCAUACAAUAAAGAUACAACCAUAAGGCUCCUGCCGGUUGCCGAUAACUUUUACAAAACAUGAUCAUCUCAUACAAUAACGUAUAUCACAUCAUGUCUUGACCACAUCACAUCACAACAUGCCCUGCAAAAACAAGUUAGGCGUCCUCUACCUUAUUGUUGCUAGUUUUACGUGGCUGCUACGGACUUCUAGCAAGAACCGUUCUUACCUACGCAUCAAAACCACAGCGGUGAUUUAUCAAGUUUGCUGUUUUAACCUUCAACAUGGACCGCCCGCAGUCAAAUUUGAUUCAACUAAAGUAGGAGAAACAGACACCCGCCAGCCACCUUUAUGCAAAACUAGUUGCAUGUUUGUCGGUGGAACUGGUGAUACGUCCAUUUUGCAUCAUGUUUUGUUACUGUUAUUUAUAAUGUUUUAUCCAUAAUAAUGCUUUUUGGAGUAAUUCUAAUGCCCUUUCUCUCAUAAUUUGCAAGGAACACACCAAUAGGGAGAAUUCCAGUAGCUGGAAAUCUGGACCUGGAAAAGCUACGUCAGGCCACCUAUUCUGCACAACUCCAAAUGAGCUGAAACUUCACGGAGAUUUUUUAUGUAUUAUUUAAGAAAUACUGGAGCCAAUAAACACCAGAGGGGGGGGGCACCAGGUGGGCACAACCCACCUUGGCGUGCUAGGCCCCCCAGACGCGCCCUGGUGGGUUGUGGCCUCCUAGGCCCACCUCUGGUGCCCAUCUUCUGCUAUAUAAGUCAUUUUGACCUAGUAAAAAUAAGGAGGAGACUUUUGGGAUGAAGCACCAACGCCUUGAGGCGGAAUUUGGGCAGGAGCACUUUUGCCCUCCGGCGGAGUGAUUCCGCCAGGGGAACUUCCCUCCCAGAGGGGGAAAUCAUCGUCAUCAUCAUCACCAACAACUCUCCCAUCUUGGGGAGGGCAAUCUCCAUCAACAUCUUCAACAACACCAUCUCCUCUCAAACCCUAGUUCAUAUUUUGCGUUCAAUCUUGUUACAGGAACUACAGAUUGGUGCUUGUGGGUGACUAGUAGUGUUGAUUACAUCUUGUAGUUGAUUACUAUAUGGUUUAUUUGGUGGAAGAUUAUAUGUUCAGAUCCAUUAUGCUAUUUAAUACUCCUAUGAUCAUGAACAUGUUUAUCAUUUGUGAGUAGUUACUUUUGUUCUUGACGUCACGGGAGAAAUCAUGUUGCAAGUAAUCAUGUGAACUUGAUAUGUGUUCGAUAUUUUGAUAGUAUGUAUGUUGUUAUCCCCUUAGUGGUGUCAUGUGAACGUCGACUACAUGACACUUCACGAUAUUUGGGCCUAAGGGAAUGCAUUGUGUAGUAGCAAUUAGAUGGUGGGUUGCGAGAGUGACAGAAUCUUAAACCCCAGUUUAUGCGCUAUUUUGUAAGGGACCGAUGGGACAUAAGUUUAAUGCUAUGGUUAGAAUUUGUUCUUAAUACUUUCCUCGUAGUUUCGGAUGCUUGCGGGAGGGUCAAUCAUAAGUAAGAGGUUUGUUCAAGUAAGAACAACACCUAAGCACCGGUCCACCCACGUACCAAAUUAUCAAAGUAGCAAACACAAAUCAAACCAACAUGAUGAAAGUGGGCACAAACCACCUGGGCGCGCCAGGCCCACCCCCCAGGCGCGCCCUGGUGGGUUGUGGCCUCCUCGGCCCACCUCAUGUGCCCAUCUUCUGGUAUAUAAGUAAUUUUGACCUAGAAAAAAUAAGGAGGAGACUUUCGGGACGAAGCGCUACCGCCUCGAGGUGGAACUUGGGCAGGAGCACUUUAGCCCUCCGGCGAGCGAUUCCGCCGGGGGAACUUCCCUCCCGGAGGGGGAAAUCAUCGUCAUCAUCAUCACCGACAACUCCCCCAUCUUGGGAAGGGUAAUCUCCAUCAAAAUAUGCAACAACACCAUCUCCUCUCAAACCCUAGUUCAUCUCUUGUGUUCAAUCUUGUUACCGGAACUAUAGAUUGGUGCUUGUGGGUGACUAGUAGUGUUGAUUACAUCUUGUAGUUGAUUACUAUAUGGUUUAUUUGGUGGAAGAUUAUAUGUUCAGAUCCAUUAUUCUAUUUGAUACUCCUAUGAUCAUGAACAUGUUUAUCAUUUGUGAGUAGUUACUUUUGUUCUUGAGGUCACGGGAGAAAUCAUGUUGCAAGUAAUCAUGUGAACUUGAUAUGUGUUCGAUAUUUUGAUAGUGUGUAUGUUGUUAUUCCCUUAGAGGUGUCAUGUGAACGUCGACUACAUGACACUUCACCAUAUUUGGGCCUAAGGGAAUGCAUUGUUGAGUAGCAAUUAGAUGGUGGGUUGCGAGAGUGACAGAAGCUUAAACCCCAGUUUAUGCGCUAUUUUGUAAGGGACCGAUUGGGUCCAAAAGUUUAAUGCUAUGGUUAGAAUUUAUUCUUAAUACUUUUCUCAUAGUUGCGGAUGCUUGCGGGAGGGUUAAUCAUAAGUAGGAGGUUUGUUCAAGUAAGAAGAACACAUAAGCACCGGUCCACCCACCUAUCAAAUUAUCAAAGUAGUGAAGACAAAUCAAACCAACAUGAUGAAAGUGACUAGAUGAAAUUCCCGUGUACCCUCAAGAAUGCUUUUCUUAUCAUAAGAGACCAUUUUGGCCUCUGCUUUGCCUCAAAAGGAUUGGGCUACCUUGCUGCACUUUUGUUACUAAUAUUGUUACUUGCUCAUUACAAAUUAUCUUGCUAUUAAACUACUCCGUUACUUACAAUUUCAGCACAUGCAGACAUUACCUUACUGAAAACUACUUGUCAUUUCCUUCUUCUCCUUGUUGGGUUCGACGCUCCUACUUAUCGAAAAGAGCUACAAUUGAUCCCUAUACUUGUGGGUCAUCAACCUCUCUCAUGAACGUGGUCAUGUAGGGUUGGUCCGGGCCGCUUCAUCCAAUGAUACCGCUGAAUCAAAAUAAGACGUUGGUGGUAAGAAGUAUGACUAUCACCGCCCACAACUCUUUGUGUUCUACUCGUGCAUCUCAUCUAUGCAUAGACCUGGCUCUGAUACCACUGUUGGGAAACGUAGCAUGUAAUUUCAAAAAAUGCUAUGCUCAAGCAAGAUCUAUCUAGGAGAUGCAUAGCAAUGGAAGGGAGAGAGUGUGUCCACGUACCCUCGUAGACCAAAAGCGGAGCCGUUUCACAACGCGGUUGAUGUAGUCGAACUUCUUCUUGUUCCGACCGAUCAAACACCGAAAGUACGGCACCUCCGAGUUCUGCACACGUUCAGCUCGAUGACAUCCCUCAAACUCUUGAUCCAGCAAAGUGUCAAGGGAGAGUUUCAUCAGCAUGACGGCGUGGUGACGGUCAUCAUGAAGUGAUCCACACAGGGCUUCGCCUAAGCACUAUGACAAUAUGACCGGAGGUGUAAACUGUGGAGGGGGCGCCGCACAAGACUGGGAAUCAAUGUUGUUUGUUCUAGUGGUGCCCCCUCAAAUGUAUAGGUUGGAGGGGAGGAGAGGCAGCCAAGGGGGCACCCCAAGUAGGAGGAAUCCUACUUGGGUGCCUUCCAAUUCGGCCUCCCCCCUUCCAUAUUCAUCCGGAAGGGGAAGGAAAGAGGAGAGAGGAGAGAAGGAUGGGGGAGGCCGAAUCCCUCCCCUUCCUUUCCCACUUCUCCUCUUUCCUUCACCCUUAUUUUGGCCUACAUGGGGCGCACCAGCCCCCUAGGGGCUGGUCUGUCCCCUUCUUGGCCCAUUAGGCCCAUGUAGUUGCCGGGGGAUGCUCGGAACCCCUUCAGGUGACCUGAUAUGUACCUGGUACCCCUAGAACACUCCUAACGUCCGAAUAUCAUCGUCAUAUAUAUAUGAAUCUUUACCUCUCAACCAUUUCGAGACUCCUCGUCAUGUCCGUGAUCUCAUCCGGGACUCUGAACAACAUUCGGUCAUCGAAUCACAUAACACAUAUAAUACAAAAUCGUCAUCGAACGUUAAACGUGUGGACCCUAUGGGUUCGAGAACUAUGUAGACAUGACCGAGACACCUCUCCGGUCAAUAACCAACAGCGGAACAUGGAUGCUCAUAUUGGUUUCCACAUAUUCUAUGAAGAUCUUUAUUAGUAGUACCAUAAUGACAACAUACAUUAUUCCCUUUGUCAUCGGUAUGUUACUCGCCCGAGAUUCGAUCGUCGGUAUCUUCAUACCUAGUUCAAUCUUGUUACCGGCAAGUCUCUUUACUCGUUCCACAAUACAUCAUCCUGCAACUAACUCAUUAGUCACAUUGCUUACAAGGCUUAUUAUGAUGUGUAUUACCGAGGACCCAAAGAUACCUCUCCGAUACUCGGAGUGACAAAUCCUAAUCUUGAUCUAUGCCAACCCAACAAACACCUUCAAAGAUACCUAUAGAGCAUCUUUAUGAUCACCCAGUCAUGUUGUGACCUUUGAUAGCACACAAGGUAUUCCUCCAGUAUCCGGGAGUUGCAUAAUCUCAUAGUCAAAGGAAUAUGUAUAUGACAUGAAGAAAGCAAUAGCAAUAAAACUUAAUGAUCAUUAUGCUAAGCUAAGGGAUGGGUCUAGUUCAUCACAUAAUUCUCCUAAUGAUUGAUCUCGUUCAUAAAAUGACAACUCAUGUCUAUGGUUAGGAAACUUAACCAUAUUUGAUUAAUGAGCUAGUCUAGUAGAGGCUUACUAAGGGACACUGUGUUUUGCCUAUGUAUCCACACAUGUAUCAAGUUUCCGGUUAAUACAAUUCUAGCAUGAAUAAUAAACAUUUAUCAUGAUAUAGGGAAAUAUAAAUAACAACUUUAUUAUUGCCUCUAGGGCAUAUUUCCUUCAGUCUCCCACUUGUACUAGAGUCAAUAAUCUAGUUCACAUCGCCAUGUGAUUUAACACCAAUAGUUCACAUCUUUAUGUGAUUAACACCCAUAGUUCACAUCGUCAUGUGACCAACACCCACAAGUUUACUAGAGUCAAUAAUCUAGUUCACGUCGCUGUGAUUAACACCCAAACAUUACUAAGGUGUGAUCAUGUUUUGCUUGUGAGAGAAGUUUAGUCAACGGGUCUGGCACAUUCAGAUCCAUAUGUAUUAUGAAAAUUUCUAUGUCUACAAUGCCCUACAUGGAGCUAAUCUAGCUAAUUGCUCCCACGUUCAAUAUGUAUCUAAAUUGAUACUUAGGGUCAUCUAGUCAGUGUCAAAGCUUGCAUUAAUGUAAAUCUUUACGACGAACUCUUUAUCACCUCCAUAACCGAGAAACAUUUCCUUAGUCCUCUUUAAGGUAACUAAGGAUAAUUCUGACCGCUGCCUAGUGAUCGAUUCCUGGAUCACUAUUGUACCCCUUGCCAAACUCAAGGUAGGGUACACAACAUUUUUGGUACACAGCAUGGCAUACUUUUAUAAAACCUAUGGCUGAGGCGUAGGGAAUGACUUUCAUUCUCUCUUUAUCUUCUGCCGUGGUCGGGUUUUGAGUCUUUACUCAACUUCACACCUUACAAUACAGACAAGAACUCCUUCUUUGACUGAUCCAUUUUGAACUCUUUGAAAAAUCUUGUCAAGGUUUGUACUCAUUGAAAGUAUUAUCAAGCGUCUUGAUCUAUCUCUGUAGAUCUUGAUUAAGGAAAUAUGCCCUAGAGGCAAUAAUAAAGUUGUUAUUUAUAUUUCCUUAUAUCAUGAUAAAUGUUUAUUAUUCAUGCUAGAAUUGUAUUAACCAGAAACUUGAUACAUGUGUGAAUACAUAGACAAAACAAAGUGUCCCUAGUAUGCCUCUACUUGACUAGCUCGUUAAUCAAAGACUGACCAUAGACAUGUGUUGUCAUUUGAUGAACGGGAUCACAUCAUUAGGAGAAUGAUGUGAUGGACAAGACCCAUCUGUUAGCUUAGCAUAAUGAUCGUUAAGUUUUAUUGCUAUUGGUUUCUUCAUGAUUUAUACAUAUUCCUUUGACUAUGAGAUUAUGCAACCCCCGAAUACCGGAGGAACACCUUGUGUGCUAUCAAACAUCACAACAUAACUGGGUGAUUAUAAAGAUGCCCUAAAAGUGUCUCUAAAGGUGUUUGUUGGGUUGUCAUAGAUCGACAUUAGGAUUUGUCACUCCGAGUAUCGGAGAGGUAUCUUUGCGCGCUCUCGGUAAUGCACAUCACGAUAAGCCUUGCAAGCAAUGUGACUAAUGAGUUAGUUGCGGGAUGAUGCAUAAGGUUACUGUUUACAAAGCUCGACUUAAUGCAUAAGGUUUUCGACAAGUUCAAGGAGUUGACUACGAUGAGACCUUCUCACCCAUAGCGAUGCUUAAGUCUGUCUGAAUCAUGUUAGCAAUUGCCGCAUUUUAUGAUUAUGAAAUUUGGCAAAUGGAUGUCGAAACUUCAUUCCUUAAUGGAUUUCUUAAAGAAAAGUCGUAUAUGAUGCAACCAGAUGGUUUUAUCGAUCCUAAAGGUGCUAACAAAGUGUGCAAGCUCCAUCAAUCCAUUUAUGGACUGGUGCAAGCCUCUCGGAGUUGGAAUAUAUGCUUUGAUAGUGUGAUCAAAGCAUAUGGUUUUAUACAGACUUUUGGAGAAGCCUGUGUUUACAAGAAAGUGAGUGGGAUCUCUUUAGCAUUUCUAAUAUUAUAUGUGGAUGGCGUAUUGUUGAUUGGAAAUGAUAUAGAAUUUCUGGAUAGCACUAGCAAAAGGGCCCGUGCGUUGCAACGGGAGAAACAAAUAUUGUACAUCCUAGUUUGUGUUUCUACUUGAUUGGCACAUAUUAUGACUAAAAUUUGUUUGUAGAUCAAAAAGAGCAAUCCACUUUAGUACCAACUUCAACUUUGCACAUUUUUAAACUUGUAAUGCAGUGUAAUCAUGUGUCUUGAAUAGCUAGCACGGACACGAAAUCAUCUAAUCGUCAGCCGCUCUACAUUAGCUCAUUUGUACACUUCUUGUGCUCUUGUUCUUGCAUGUCCCAUCGCAAACGCUCACUCAACAGAAGAGAUGAGAGAGAUACAGUAGUAUUCACAAGAGUGUACGCAAGCAAGCUUUGGUUUCUAACCCACAGAAGACCAAUUUUUUUAACCUACAAAAGAGAUAUUUAGUCCGUAUGGGCAUCAUCCUUUUGCACAUAUUGUCGGAAUGCCGUUCAAAGAAAUAGCUAGCAUGGACCUGAAAGAGAUACAAACCUACAUUUUUCUCAAUAUUAGUACAAUACAUAGUCAUGGGUACCAUUUCUUUCUCAAUCAGCAUGAUUACCUGGCAAGAUCACAAAUUUGUGUUGCUGAAAUUUCAUGACAAUAGAGAGGGGAUUCAAGAAGAAAACUGCCAAAUAAAGAGCUGAAGAAGCCCAUCUCAUCGUCAUAUGCCACCAGUUGUUUGACUUGAUGGAUGAAACAAACUAAUACCCUCAAAUAAUUUUACCUUUGGCCAUGGUGAAGAUUAUAUUUUGAUAACCGUACCACGAGACAAUAUCAUGUUGCAACAGACCAGUAAUUGGUUUGAACUGUAAAAUAAACAUUCAGUUCCUCUGAAUUCUGAAGUCAAAAGCAACCUUAUUGUAUUAGCUACACCUAGCUAGCUGCGCAUUGCUGCAUCAUAGUAAGAAUGCCAUGGUUAUGAACAUUAUCAAACUUAUUAUUUUGAAAACAACAAUAUUCCAGAAGAAAAUGCCAUGGUUGUGUAUGUUAUCAAAAACACAAAAAUUAAAAUUGUCGUUCCAAGUUGCAUGGUCUCUAUCCUGUUGGUGAACUGGCACAUCCUGGGAGCGGAAGUAUUAUAGACACACAAAGCCUCUAAUUAUUGUCAGAGGCUUGUAUCAAGCUGCAGAAGGCCACAAAAAGCAUUUACUCAGGCAUGUUGGCAUGGCUCUGGAGCUUUGCCCGUAAGUUAAUGGUGGAUAGAAUUUUAGUAGUGAAAGAAGCAAACCAGUGUGUCAUCCAUAUCCUCAAAUUGCAUAUGAAUCAAAAAGUGAAACUAAUGCUCGAGAACAAGUCAUUUAUUUAGCAUCGAUCAGUGAGCAGCAACAUAGAAGGACUAUUUAUUUGGUUUCUGGCAGCGAGCAGAAAUAUAUAUAAGAGGGUCAACAUUGUCUUACAAACUCCCAGAAAUGCAUGCUCAUGUUGCGAGUAAGCACUAAACUUAUAAUUCAAUAUAAUGUAAAAAUGUCAAUAAAGAACAUGUAAAGUGAUAAGUGCACCAUGGAACAUUUUCACACUGGAGUGCGACACCAAAUGCAUGGUAUAGGAGGAAACUCUUAUUACCAAAUGAUUCAGAUAUAUAUGACUACAACACACAGUACUGUUGGAAUGCUAGCUGAAGAAAGAUUUCAUGGUAGAACAGUUAUUAUUAAAAAAUCAUGAGGCCAAAUGGCCAACAAUUUAGUGCCCCCCUGUAAUUUUGGGCCAACAUUGUUCAUAUAUUUCCAGUGUAUAUAUCCCAAAGUAGUUGCAUCCCUUUCUAGCUUUUUAUUGUAUCACCAGUUGAUUGACCACUAACUAAUAGAAUAUUCCUGAUAAAAGUUUCUUAUAGUUAGAAUUGAAGCCUUCUGAAGUUAGCAACUCAUCUAAUAUCUAUAAUGCCUUGCCCGACAUCAAGAAAUAAGGAUGAGAAUGCAGAGUGAAUGGUUCAACAUAGGAUGAAAAAAGUUAAAGCAUUCCUAACUUGUUGUGGUGGACAGAAUAGCGUAAACGCAGCUCAAUCUCGUCCUCAUUGAAUUCAUUGAUGAAGUGGUCCAAGUUUCAAGACAUAAAGGAGGAGCAAACAAUUCCCCUAUGCAUUGCUGCCUAAGAACAAUAACAGCAGCUUCUCAGAUUGAUCUACGCAGGCCACUGUAACUGAGAGGGGAGGAGAAGAGGCAUACUGCCAUGGUACUGAUCCAGCACUAGCGGAUAUGCGCACCUCCUACUUGCGCUUCCGACUUGGUGCCCGAUUCCGCUGCCAGGACCUCGCGCGUGGGAAGCCAGCGAUGUGCGGUCGUCUUGGAUCAGACUGGGAGCAGCAGUGGAGGGUGGAACCGAUCUGGUAAAAGAAAGGUUGGGGGCUUGGAGAUUGGGAGGAGCAGUGGAGGGAGGAACUGAUCUGGUAAAAGCAAGGUUGGGGCUUGGGGAUUACUGGAUUAGCAUCGGUGCUUUUGCACCACCGUUUCUCUCCGCAGGGUGGGGUGGGGUGGGGUUUGGGGGGGCGUUCAGCCGCACGGUAGCUCCACCACCAUUGGCAUUGAGACGCUUGCAGCCUUGUGGGGCAGGAUAAGGAAGCAGACGGGGAGGGGAGAAGGUGGCGGACAUAGAGUGGGGGAGGAGGAGGCGAGAUGGCGGAGCUGCGGCCAUGGCGGCGAGCUGGUGGAGGUGCGGCGGCCAUGGGGCGAGCUGGCGGAGGUGUGGAGGCAGCGGCGGCGGUGUGGCUCGGCUGGGCAUAGGUGAGGGGUCGAGGAGGCAGAUGCCUACGGGCGCUUUGUUUUCCAGCAAACCGUUUUUUUCUUUUCCGUAGCAGAUUAAUUAUGGAAUGCGGGUUUAAUUCCUAAAAAUUAGAAGGACCUUUGUGUAAAAACACCGCAACGGUGAAUCCAGAGACUCAAUCCGUGCUUUAUUAUUAGGGAGAGAUUAAAGGAUACUUGAAUAAGAAUUUUUCAAUGAAAGACCUCAGAGAAGCUACUUAUAUAUUAGGCAUCAAGAUCUAUAGAGAUAGAUCAAGACGCUUAAUUGGACUUUCACAAAACACAUACCUUGAUAAAUUUUGAAGAAGUUCAAAAUGGAUCAGUCAAAGAAAGGGUUCUUGCCUAUGUUACAAGGUGUGAAGUUGAGUCAAACUCAAUGCCCGACCAUUGCAGAAGAUAGAGAGAAAAUGGAAGUCAUUCCCUAUGCCUCAGCCAUAGGUUCUAUCAUGUAUGCAAUGCUGUGUACCAGACCUGAUGUGUGCCUUGCUAUAAGUUUAGCAGGGAGGUACCAAAGUAAUCUAGGAGUGGAUCACUGGACAGCGGUCAAGAACAUCCUGAAAUACCUAAAAAGGACCAAGGAUAUGUUUCUCAUUUAUGGAGGUGACAAAGAGCUUGUUGUAAAUGGUUACAUCGAUGCUAGCUUUGACACUGAUCCAGAUGACUCUAAGUCGCAAACCGGAUAUGUAUUUAUAUUGAAUGGUGGAGCUAUCAAUUGGUGAUGUUCCAAGCAGAGCAUCGUGGCAGGAUCUAUGUGUGAAGCAGAGUACAUAGCUGUUACGGAAGCAACAAAUGAAAAGGUCUGGAUGAAGGAGUUCAUAUCCGAUCUAGGUGUAAAACCUAGUGCAUCAGGUCCAAUGAAAAUCUUUUGUGACAAUAAUGGACCAAUUUCCUUAGCGAAGGAAUCCAGAUUUCACAAGAGAACCAAACACAUCAAGAGACACUUCAACUCCAUCCGUGAUCAAGUCAAGGAAGGAGACAUAGAGAUUUGCAAAAUACAUAUGGAUCUGAAUGUUGCAGACUCGUUGACUAAGCCUCUUCCAUGAGCAAAACAUGAUCAACACCAAGACUCAAUGAGCGUUAGAAUCAUUACAAUGUAAUCUAGAUUAUUGACUCUAGUGCAAGUGGGGGACUGAAGGAAAUAUGCCCUAGAGGCAAUAAUAAAGUUGUUAUUUAUAUUUCCUUAUAUCAUGAUAAAUGUUUAUUAUUCAUGCUAGAAUUGUAUUAACCGGAAACAUGAUACAUGUGUGAAUACAUAGACAAAACAAAGUGUCCCUAGUAUGCCUCUACUUGACUAGCUCGUUAAUCAAAGAUGGUUAAGUUUCCUGACCAUAGACAUGUGUUGUCAUUUGAUGAACGGGAUCACAUCAUUAGGACAAUGAUGUGAUGGACAAGACCCAUUCGUUAGCUUAGCAUAAUGAUCGUUAAGUUUUAUUGCUAUUGCUUUCUUCAUGACUUAUACAUAUUCCUUUGACUAUGAGGUUAUGCAACUCCUGAAUAUCGGAGGAACGCCUUGUGUGCUAUCAAAUGUCACAACAUAACUGGGUGAUUAUAAAGAUGCUCUAUAGGUGUCUCCAAAGGUGUUUGUUGGGUUGGCAUAGAUCGAGAUUAGGAUUUGUCACUCCGAGUAUCAGAGAGGUAUCUUUGGGCCCUCUCGGUAAUGCACAUCACGAUAAGCCUUGCAAACAAUGUGACUAAUGAGUUAGUUGUGGGGUGAUGAAUUAUGGAACAAGUAAAGAGACUUGCCCGUAACGACAUUGAACUAGGUAUGAGGAUACCGACGAUCGAAUCUCGGGCAAGUAAUAUACUGUUGACAAAGGGAAUGACGUAUGUUGUCAUGGUGGUUUGACCGAUAAAGAUCUUCAUAGAAUAUGUAGGAACCAAUAUGAGCAUCUAGGUUCCACUAUUGGUUAUCGAUCGAAGAUGUGUCUCGGUCAUGUAUACAUAGUUCUCGAACCCGUAAGGUCCGCACGCUUAACGUUUGAUGACAAUUUGUAUUAUGAGUUAUGUGUUUUGGCAAUCGAAGAUUGUUCGGAGUCCCGGAUGAGAUCAUGGACAUGACGAGGAGUCUCAAAAUAGUCGAGAGGUAAAGAUUGAUAUAUUGGACGAUGGUAUUCGGACACUAGAAUGGUUUCGGGACGUUUCGGAUAUUUAUCAGAGUACCGAGGGGUUACCGGAACGCCCCGGGGAAGUAUUGGGUCUACAUGGGCCGUAGGGGAGAGAGAGGGGAGCCGACAAGGGGUGCCCCCCCCACGGGAGUCCAAAUUGGACAAGGGGGAAGGGGGCCGUGCCCCCUUUCCUUCUCCCUCUCCCUCUCCUUCCCUUUCCACCCUCCGAAAGAAUGGAAAGGGGGCCGACUUGGAUUGGGAGUCCUAGUUGGUUCCCCUUGAUACGUCUCCAACAUAUCUAUAAUUUUUGAUUGCUCCAUGCUAUAUUAUCUACUGUUUUGGACCAUAUUGGGCUUUAUUUUCCACUUUUAUAUUAUUUUUGGGACUAACCUAUUAACCGGAGGCCCGGCCCAGAAUUGUUGUUUUUUGCCUAUUUCAGUGUUUCGGAGAAACAGAAUAUCAAACGGAGUCCAAACGGAAUGAAACCUUCGGGAACAUGAUUUUCUCAUGAGAUAAGACCAAGGAGACUUGGACCCUCCGUCAAGAAAGCCACAAGGCAGUCACGAGGGUGGAGGGCGCCCCCUAGGGUGCGCCCCCUGCCUCGUGGGCCCCUCGAAGCUCCACCGACGUACUCCUUCCUCCUAUAUAUACCUACGUACCCCCAAAUGAUCGGGGACGGAGCCAAAAACCAAAUUCCACCGCCGCAACUUUCUGUAUCCACGAGAUCCCAUCUUGGGUUCUGUUCCGGAGCUCCACCGGAAGGGGAAUCGAUCACGGAGGGCUUCUACAUCAUCAUCCAAGCCCCUCCGAUGAAGUGUGAGUAGUUUAUUUCAGACCAACGGGUCCAUAGUUAGUAGCUAGAUGGCUUCUUCUCUCUUUUUGUAUCUCAAUACAAUGUUCUCCCCCUCUCUCGUGGAGAUCUAUUUGAUGUAAUCUUCUUUUUGCGGUGUGUUUGUUGAGACCGAUGAAUUGUGGGUUUAUGAUCAAGUCUAUCUAUGAAUAAUAUUUGAAUCUUCUCUGAAUUCUUUUAUGUAUGAUUGGUUAUCUUUGCAAGUCCCUUUGAAUUAUCAGUUUGGUUUGGCCUACUAGACUAGUUUUUCUUGCCAUGGGAGAAGUGCUUAGCUUUGGGUUCAAUCUUGCAGUGUCCUUUCCCAGUGACAGAAGGGGCAGCAAGGCACGUAUUGUAUUGUUGCCACGAGGAUAACAAGAUGGGGUUUUUAUCAUAUUGCAUGAAACUAUCCCUCUACAUCAUGUCAUCUUGCUUAAGGCGUUACUUUGUUUUUAACUUAAUACUCUAGAUGCAUGCUGGAUAGCGGUCGAUGAGUCGAGUAACUAGAUGUAGGCAGGAGUUGGUCUACUUGUCUCGGACGUGAUGCCUAUAUACAUGACUAUGCUCAAUUCUCUCAAUUGCUCAACAGUAAUUUGUUCACCCACCAUAGAAUACUUAUGCUCUUGAGAGAAGCCACUAGUGAAACCUAUGGCCCCCGGGUCUCUUUCUCAUCAUAUCAAUCUCCAUCACUUUAUUAUUACUUUGCUUUUACUUUGCCUUUUACUUUUCACUUUGCAUCUCUAUACCAAAAAUACCAAAAAUAUUAUUUAUCAUCUCUAUCAGAUCUCACUUUCGUAAGUGACCAUGAAGGGAUUGACAACCCCUAAGCACAUUGGUUGCGUUGAUCUAUCGUUUUUGUGUAGGUACGAGGGACUCGCACGUAGCCUCCUACUGGAUUGAUACCUUGGUUCUCAAAAACUGAGGGAAAUACUUACGCUACUUUGCUGCACCAUCCUCUCCUCUUUGGGGAAAUCCAACGCAGUGCUCAAGAGGUAGCAAGAAGAAUCUAUGGCGCCGUUGCCGGGGAGUCUGCGUAAAAAUCAACAUACCAAGUACCCAUCACAAUCCCUAUCUCCUGCAUUACAUUAUUUUCCAUUUGCCUCUAGUUUUCCUCUCCCCCACUUCACCCUUGCCAUUUUAUUCGCCCUCUCUCUCUCUAUACUCCCUCUCUUUCUCUAUUUGCCUCUUUUUUCCCGUUUGCUUUUUGUUUGCUCCUGUGUUGGAUUGCUUGUUUGCCGCGAUGGAACACUUCCCUAGAAAUAAAAUAAAAUUUCCAUAUGAAUCUAUCAUGAGAGCCACUUAUGGAUUACCUACCAAAGAUGGCAAUACCUAGAUCUAUUUUUGCUUGUUAUGCCUAGCUAGGGGUGUUAAACGAUAGCGCUUGUUGGGAGGCAACCCAAUUUUAUUUUUAUUCCUUGAUUUUUUAUCCUGUUUAGUAAUAAAUAAUUUAUCUAGCCUCUGUUUUGGUUGUGUUUUUUGUGUUUAAUUAGUGUUUGUGCCAAGUACAACCAUUGGGAAGACUUGGGGAAAGUCUUGUUGAACUUGCUGUAAAAAACAGAAACUUUAGCGCUCACGAGAACUGCUGUCAUUUUUAUUUGUAAAGUGCUAUUUAGUUAAUUAUUUUUUCAUAUUAUUAAUAGAUAAAUUCCUCACGUCCAUAAAUUUAUUUUAGAAUUUUUGGGGUUCCAGAUCUUGCGCUAGCUACAGAUUACUACAGACUGUUCUGUUUUUGACAGAUUCUGUUUUUCGUGUGUUGUUUGCUUAUUUUAAUGAAUCUAUGACUAGUAAAAUAGUUUAUAAACCAUAGAGAAGUUGGAAUACAGUAGCUUUAACACCAAUAUAAAUAAAGAAUGAGUUCAUUACAGUACCUUGAAGUGGUCUUUUGUUUUCUUUCGCUAACGGAGCUCACGAGAUUUUCUACUUUAAGUUUUGUGUUGUGAAGUUUCCAAGUUUUGGGUAAAGAUUUAUGGAUUAUGGAACAAGGAGUGGAAAGAACCUAAGCUUGGGUAUGCCCAUGGAACCCCCAAGAUAAUCUAAGGACUCCUAAAAGCCAAAGCUUGGGGAUGCCCCGGAAGGCAUCCCCUCUUUCUUCUACUUCUAUCGGUAACUUUACUUGGAGCUAUAUUUUCAUUCACCACAUGAUAUGUGUUUUGCUUGGAGCGUCUUUUAUGAUUUGAGUCUUUGCUUGUUAGUCUACCACAAUCAUCCUUGCUGUACACACCUUUUGAGAGAGCUAUACAUAAUUUGGAAUUUGAUAUAAUACUCAAUGUGCUUCACUUAUAUCUUUUGAGCUUUAUAGUUUUGCUCUAGUGCUUCACUUAUAUCUUUCAGAGCACGGUGGUGGAUUCGUUUUACAGAAACUAUUGAUCUCUCAUGCGUCACUUAGAUUAUUUUGAGAGUCUUAAUAGCAAUGUAAUUUUCUUAAAAUCCUAAUAUGCUUGGUAUGCAAGAUUAAUAAUAAAACUUUCUUAUGAGUGUGUUGAAUACUAAGAAAAGUUUGAUGCUUGAUGAUUGUUUUGAGAUAUAGAGGUAAUAAUAUCAAAGUCAUGCUAGUUGAGUAGUUGUGAAAUUGAGAAAUACUUGUGUUGAAGUUUGCAAGUCCCGUAGCAUGCACGUAUGGUAAACGGUAUGCAACAAAUUUGAAACAUGAGGUGUUAUUUGAUUGUCUUCCUUAUGAGUGGCGAUCGGGGAUGAGCAAUGGUGUUUUCCUACCAAUCUAUCCCCCUAGGAGCAUGCGCGUAGUACCGAGGUUUUUGAUGACUUGUAGAUUUUUGCAAUAAGUAUGUGAGUUCUUUGUGACUAAUGUUGAGUCCAUGGAUUAUACGCACUCUCACCCUUCCAUCCUUGCUAGCCACUUCGGUACCGUGCAUUGCCCUUUAUCACAUUGAGAGUUGGCACAAACUUCGCUGGUGCAUCCAAACCCCGUGAUAUGAUACGCUCUUUCACACAUAAACCUCCUUAUAUCUUCCUUAAAACAUCCACCAUACCUACCUAUUAUGGCAUUUCCAUAGCCAUUCCGAGAUAUAUUGCCAUGCAACUUUCCAUCAUUCCGUUCAUCAUGACACAUUCAUCAUUGUCAUAUUGCUUAGCAUGAUCAUGUAGUUGACAUAGUAUUUGUGGCAAAGCCACCAUUCAUAAUUCUUUCAUACAUGUCACUUUUGGUUCAUUGCAUAUCCCGGUACACCGCCAGAGGCAUUCAUAUAGAGUCAUCUUUGUUCUAGUAUCGAGUUGUAAUCAUUGAGUUGUAAAUAAAUAGAAGUGUGAUGAUCAUCAUUAUUAGAGCAUUGUCCCAAGUGAGGAAUAAAAAAAAGAGAAAGGCCAUAAAAAAGAGAAGGCCCUAAAAAAUGAGAGAAAAAGAGAGAAGGGACAAUGUUACUAUCCUUUUACCACACUUGUGCUUCAAAGUAGCACCAUGAUCUUCAUAGUAGAGAGUCUCUCAUGUUAUCACUUUCAUAUACUAGUGGGAAUUUUUCAUUAUAGAACUUGGCUUGUAUAUUCCAACAAUGGUCCUCCUCAAGUGCCCUAGGUCUUCGUGAGCAAGCAAGUUGGAUGCACACCCACUAGUUUCUUUUGUUGAGCUUUCAUACAUUUAUAGCUCUAGUGCAUCCGUUGCAUGGCAAUCCCUACUCCUUGCAUUAACAUCAAUCGGUUGGCAUCUCCAUAGCCCAUUGAUUAGCCUCAUUGAUGUGAGACUUUCUCCUUUUUUGUCUUCUCCACAUAACCCCCUUCAUUAUAUUCUAUUCCACCCAUAGUGCUAUGUCCAUGGCUCGCGCUCAUAUAUUGCGUGAAAGUUUAUAGGUUUGAGAUUACUAAAGUAUGAAACAAUUGCUUGGCUUGUCAUCGGGGUGGUGCAUGAUGAGAGCAUUCUUGUGUGAUGAAAAUUAAACAUGACUAAACUAUAUGAUUUUGUAGGGAUGAACUUUCUUUGGCCAUGUUAUUUUGAGAAGACAUAAUUGCUUAGUUAGUAUGCUUGAAGUAUUAUCAUUUUUAUGUCAAUAUGAACUUUUGUCUUGAAUCUUUUGGAUCUGAAUAUUCAUACCACAAUUAAGAAGAAUUAAAUUAAAAUUAUGCCAAGUAGCACUCCGCAUCAAAAAUUCUCUUUUUAUCAUUUACCUACUCAAGGACGAGCAGGAAUUAAGCUUGGGGAUGCUUGAUACAUCUCCAACGUAUCUAUAAUUUUUGAUUGCUCCAUGCUAUAUUAUCUACUGUUUUGGACCAUAUUGGGCUUUAUUUUCCACUUUUAUAUUAUUUUUGGGACUAACCUAUUAACCAGAGGCCCAGCCUAGAAUUGCUGUUUUUUGCCUAUUUCAGUGUUUCGGAGAAACAAAAUAUCAAACGGAGUCCAAACGGAAUGAAACCUUCGGGAACGUGAUUUUCUCAUUCGAUAAGACCCAGGAGACUUGGACCCUCCGUCAAGAAUGCCAUGAUGCAGUCACGAGGGUGGAGGGCGCCCCCCUAGGGCGCGCCCCCUGCCUCGUGGGCCCCUCGAAGCUCCACCGACGUACUCCUUCCUCCUAUAUAUACCUAUGUACCCCCAAACGAUCGGGGAUGGAGCCAAAAACCUAAUUCCACCGCCGCAACAUUCUAUAUCCACGAGAUCCCAUCUUGGGGCCUGUUCCGGAGCUCCGCCAGAAGGGGAAUCGAUUACGGAGGGCUUCUACAUCAUCAUCCAAGCCCCUCCGAUGAAGUGUGAGUAGUUUAUUUCAGACCUAUGGGUCCAUAGUUAGUAGCUAGAUGGCUUCUUCUAUCUUUUUGGAUCUCAAUACGAUGUUCUCCCCCUCUCUCGUGGAGAUCUAUUUGAUGUAAUCUUCUUUUUGCGGUGUGUUUGUUGAGACCGAUAAAUUGUGGGUUUAUGAUCAAGUCUAUCUAUGAAUAAUAUUUGAAUAUUCUCUGAAUUCUUUUAUGUAUGAUUGGUUAUCUUUGCAUGUCUCUUUGAAUUAUCAGUUUGGUUUGGCCUACUAGAUUGGUUUUUCUUGCCAUGGGAGAAGUGCUUAGCUUUGGGUUCAAUCUUGCGGUGUCCUUUCCCAGUGAUAGAAGGGGCAGCAAGGCAUGUAUUGUAUUGUUGCCAUCGAGGAUAGCAAGAGGGGUUUUUAUCAUAUUGCAUGAAACUAUCCCUCUACAUCAUGUCAUCUUGCUUAAGGCGUUACUCUAUUUUUAACUUAAUACUCUAGAUGCAUGCUGGAUAGCGGUCGAUGAGUGGAGUAAUAUUAGUAGAUGCAGGCAGGAGACGGUCUACUUGUCUCGAACGUGAUGCCUAUAUACAUGAUCAUACCUAGAUAUUCUCAUAAGUAUGUUCAAUUCUGUCAAUUCCUCAACAGUAAUUUGUUCACCCACCGUAGAAUACUUAUGCUCUUGAGAGAAGCCACUGGUGAAACCUAUGGCCCCCGGGUCUCUUUCUCAUCAUAUCAAUCUGCAUCACUUUAUUAUUGCUUUGCUUUUACUUUGCCUUUUACUUUUCACUUUGCAUCUCUAUACCAAAAAUACCAAAAAUAUUAUUUAUCAUCUCUAUCAGAUCUCACUUUCGUAAGUGACCGUGAAGGGAUUGACAACCCCUAAGCGCGUUGGUUGCGUUGAGCUAUUGUUUUUGUGUAGGUACGAGGGACUCGUGUGUAGCCUCCUACUGGAUUGAUACCUUGGUUCUCAAAAACUGAGGGAAAUACUUACGCUACUUUGAUGCAUCAUCCUCUCCUCUUCGGGGAAAUCCAAUGCAGUGCUCAAGAGGUAGCACCCCUCCCCCCACUUGGGUGUGCCCCUAGGCCAGCCUCCUCCCCUCCUUUAUAUACAGGGGCAGGGGCACCCCAAAGCACAACAAUUUUUCUUAGCCGUGUGCGGUGACCCCCUCCAAAGUUUACUCUUCCGGUCAUAUUAUCGUAGUGCUUAGGCGAAGCCCUAUGCGAAUCACAUCACCAUCAUCAUCACCACACCGUCAUGCUGACGAAACUCUCCCUCGACACUUGGCUGGAUCAAGAGUUUGAGGGACGUCAUCGAGUUGAACGUGUGCUGAACUCGGAGGUGUCGUACGUUCAGUACUUGAUCUGUUGGAUCGCGAAGACGUUUGACAACAUCAACCGCGUUAACCUAACGCUUCCUCUUUCGGUCUACGAGGGUACGUGGAGACACUCUCCCCCUCCUGUUGAUAUGCAUCUCCUAGAUGGAUCUUGUGUGAUCGUAGGAUUUUUUUUUCAAAUUUCAUGCUAUGUUCCCCAACACUUGAUGCCCAAUAUGUAAGCAGCUUCACCGAGGUCCUUCAUUGAAAAAUUCUUAGUCAAAUAUCAUUUUAUGCUAUCCAGAAAUUCUAUAUCAUUUCCAAUCAACAAUAUGUUAUCCACAUAUAAUAUUAGAAAUGCUACAGAGCACCCACUCACUUUCUUGUAAAUAGAGGCUUCUCGAAAAGUCUGUAUAAAACCAUAUGCUUUGAUCACCUCAUCAAAGCGUAUAUUCCAACUCCGAGAUGCUUGCACCAGUCCAUAAAUGGAUCGCUGGAGCUUGCACACUUUGUUUAACCUUUAGGAUCGACAAAACCUUCUGGUUGCAUCAUAUACAACUCUUCUUUAAGAAAUCCAUUAAGGAAUGCUGUUUUGACGUCCAUUUGCUAGGUUUCAUAAUCAUAAAAUGCGGCAAUUGCUGACAUGAUUCGUACAGACUUAAGCAUCGCUACGGGUGAGAAAGUCUCAUUUUAGUCAACUCCUUGAACUUGUCGAAAACCUUUUGCGACUAGUCGAGCUUUGUAGACAGUAACAUUACCAUAAGUGUCAGUCUUCUUCUGGAAGAUCCAUUUAUUCUCUAUGGCUUGCCGAUCAUUGGGCAAGUCAACCAAAGUCCAUACUUUGUUUUCAUACAUGGAUCCUAUCUCAGAUUUCAUGGCCUCAAGCCAUUUAUCGGAAUCUGGGCUCAUCAUCGCUUCCUCAUAGUUCGUAGGUUCGUCAUGGUCUAAUAACAUGACUUCCAGAACAGGAUUACCGUACCACUCUGGUGCGGAACGUGCUCUAGUUGACCUACGAGGUUUGGUAGUAACUUGAUCAAAAUGUGGUCGUGUUUUUGUUAGAUACUCAAUUUAUGUACCUAGUAAGAACUAGGUACAACGCCUAGCACAUGAAAUUGAUUUGUAGUUAUACAGGGAAAUUGCAAUGUCAAUCUUUGUUGUUAAUGAGGUGUAAGGAGAUCGAGCAGUAAGAAAGUAUUGCAUAUUGAGGUGUCUGCAAUGACUAGCACAUGAAAUGGCCAUAGGCUAUGUACUUUGUCAAGGAAAUUGCCAUUCACCAACACCAUUUUCAGUUCUGUUAGUUUUGCAAAUGGCCGGCUUAUUUGUAUAAUGUUAGUCUAUAGAAUUGUUAGCUACUUGGGAGUAGUGACUAGUGAGCAAUUUACUAAUUUAGUUAUGAUGUCAACAUUUCUUAUGUUUGCUUUACUUUAGCAGGGAGGUGUCCAUUGUGGUUCAGUGCAGUGGACCGAUGUGCAUUGGCCUGUCAUACUACAGAUCUGCUUGACCAAUCUAUGUGACAUCUUUUAUGACUAAGGUGGCAAGGUGAAAUAAUAGAAAGCAAUGGAUGCUGAAGGAUUUGAGAAGAGCUAUAGUUGAAGGUCAAGAUGAGAAGCCGAGGCUUGGAAAGGAGCAAAGGUGUAUCCUUCAAUCUUAGGCAUAUAUAAUUAAGAACACUAGGAAGGCCAUGCAUGAGAUCAAGGUGGACAUGGUGAAGGAAAUAUGCCCUAGAGGCAAUAAUAAAGUUGUUAUUUUAUAUUUCCUUCUAUCAUUAUAAAUGUUUAUUAUUCAUGCUAGAAUUGUAUUAACCGGAAACUUGAUACAUGUGUGGAUACAUAGACAAAACACCGUGUCCCUAGUAAGUCUCUACUAGACUAGCUCGUUAAUCAAAGAUGGUUAAGUUUCCUAACCAUAGACAUGUGUUGUCAUUUGAUGAAUGGGAUCACAUAAUUAGGAGAAUGAUGUGAUGGACAAGGCCCAUCCGUUAGCUUAGCAUAAUGAUGUUAAGUCUUAUUGCUAUUGCUUUCUUCAUGUCAUAUACAUAUUCCUUUGACUAUGAGAUUAUGCAACUCCCGGAUGCCGGAGGAAUACCUUGUGUACUAUCAAACGUCACAACGUAAUUGAGUGAUUAUAAAGAUGCUCUAUAGGUAUCUCCGAAGGUGUUUAUUGGGUUGGCAUAGAACGAGAUUAGGAUUUGUCACUCCGAGUAUCGGAGAGGUAUCUCUGGGCCCUCUCGGUAAUGCACAUCAUAAUAAGCCUUGCAAGUGAUGUGACUAAUGAGUUAGUUGCAGGAUGAUGCAUUACAGAACAAGUAAAGAGAUUUGCCGGUAAUAAGAUUGAACUAGGUAUGAAGAUAUCGACGAUCGAAUCUCGGGCAAGUAACAUACCGAUGAAAAAGGGAAUAACGUAUGUUGUCAUAACGGUUCGACUGAUAAAGACCUUCGUAGAAUAUGUAGGAGACAAUAUGACCAUCCAGGUUCCUCUAUUGGUUAUUGACUGGAGAGGUGUCUUAGUCAUGUCUACAUAGUUCUCAAUCCCAUAGGGUCCGCACGCUUAACGUUCGAUGACAAUUUUGUAUUAUACGAGUUAUGUGAUUUGGUGACCAAAUGUUGUUUGGAGUCCCGGAUGAGAUCCCGGACUUGACGAGGAGUCUCAAAAUGGUUGAGAGGUAAAGAUUCAUUUAUAGGACCAUAGUAUUCAGACACCGAAAGUGUUCUGGGGGUACCGGGUACGUAUCAGGUCACCGGAAGGGGUUCCGGGCGACCCCCAGCAAGCUAUAUAUAUGGGCCUAAUGGGCCAAGAGGGGAAACACACCAGCCACAAAGGGGCUGGUGCCCCCCCCAUAUGGGCUGGCCAAAUUGGAGAAAUAAAGGGGAAGAAGGAAAGGAAAAAGGGAAUAGGAUUCCCCCUUCCCCCUCUUCCCUUCCUACUCCGAAUAGGAAUAGGAAAGGGGGGAGGCCGAAUUGGGAGGACCCCAAGUAGGAUUCCUCCUACUUGGGGCACCCCCUUGGCUACCUCUCCUCCCCUCCAACCUAUAUAUAUGUGGGCGGCCACCGCUAGAACACACACGAAACAUUGUUAGCCAUGUGCGGCGCCCCCCUCCAUGGUUUAUAACUUUGGUCAUAUCUUUGUAGUGUUUAGGCGAAGCCCUGCACGGAUCACUUCACCAUCACCGUCACCAAUCCAUCGUGCUAAUGGAACUCUCCCACGACACUUUGCUGGAUCAAGAGUUCGUGGGAUGUCAUCGGCUGAACAUGUGCAGAACUCGUAGGUGACGUACGUUCGGUGCUUGAUUGGUCGGAACGAGAAGAAGUUCGACUACAUCAAUCGUGUUGUCAAACGCUUCCGCUUCCGGUGUAUGAGAGUACAUGGACACACUCUCCCCCUCUCGUUGCUAUGCAUCUCCUAGAUAGAUCUUGCGUGAGCAUAGGAAAUUUUUGAAAUUGUAUGCUACGUUACCCAAUGGUGGUAUCAGAGCCAGGUCUAUGCGUAGAUGAUAUGCAUGAGUAGAAUACAAAGAGUUGUGGGCGGUGAUAGUCAUACUUCUUACCACCUAGGUCUUAUUUUUAUUUGGCGUUAUUGUUGGAUGAAGCGGCCCGGACUAACCUUACAUGACCAUGUUCAUGAGACCGGUUCCACCGACAGACAUGCAACUUGUUUUGCAUAAAGGUGGCUGGCGGGUGUCUGUUUCUCCAACUUUAGUUGAAUCGGAUUAGACUGCGGCCGGUCCUUGUUGAAGGUUAAAACACCAAACUUGAUAAAUCACCAUUGUGGUAUUGAUGCGUAGGUAAUAACCGUUCUUACUAGAAGCCCGUAGCAGCCACGUAAAACUUGCAACAACAAAGUAGAGGACGUCUAACUUGUUUUUGCAGGGCAUGUUGUGAUGUGAUAUGGUCAAGACAUGAUGUGAUAUACGUUAUUGUAUGAGAUGAUCAUGUUUUGUAAAAGUUAUUGGCAACUGGCAGGAGCCUUCACUACUAAAAAAAGACACAUCUGUGACAUUUUGGGCCAAACAAAAAUUUUUCUGUCAUACUUAUGACACUUCUAUGACAAUAAUUGUGACAAAAUACGGUAUCAUCAGAGAUGUGGUGGGGUCCUACUUCUAUGACAAAAAAUCAUGACAGAAAAUGGGCUUUUCGUCCUCGGCGGGCCGGAGACGCAGAUGCAUGACAUUCUUUGGGCCGUCCAUGAUGGAAAAACCUUGGUAGAAGCGAGGGCGAGCAAAAUAUCGGGGUGUUUCCGAUUAUGGUGUGUGGUUGAUACGUCUCCAACGUAUCUAUAAUUUUUGAUUGCUCCAUGCUAUAUUAUCUACUGUUUUGGACAUUAUUGGGCUUUAUUAUACACUUUUAUAUUAUUUUUGGGACUAACCUAUUAACCGGAAGCCCAGCCCAGAAUUGUUGUCUUUGGCCUAUUUUAGGGUUUCGAAGAAAAGGAAUAUCAAACGGCGUCCAAACAGAAUGAAACCUUCGAGAACGUAAUUUUUGGAACGAACAAAGAUCCAGGAGACUUGGACCCUACAUCAAGCAACCAACAGGGAGGCCACGAGGUAGGGGGUGCGCCUACCCCCCCCCCCAGGCGCGCCCUCCACCCUCGUGGGCCCCCUGUUGCUCCACCGACAUACUUCUUCCUCCUAUAUAUACCUAUGUACCCCCAAACAAUCAGGUACGGAGCCAAAACCGUAAUUCCACUGCCGUAACUUUCUGUAUCCACGAGAUCCCAUCUUGGGGCCUGUUCCGGAGCUCUACUAGAGGGGGCAUCGAUCAUGGAGGGCUUCUACAUCAACACCAUAGCCUCUCCGAUGAAGUGUGAGUAGUUUACCUCAGACCUACGGGUCCAUAGUUAUUAGCUAGAUGGCUUCUUCUCUCUUUUUGGAUCUCAAUACAAAGUUCUCCCCCUCUCUUGUGGAGAUCUAUUCGAUGUAAUCUUCUUUUUGCGGUGUGUUUGUUGAGACCGAUGAAUUGUGGGUUUAUGAUCAAGUUUAUCUAUGAACAAUAUUUGAAUCUUCUCUGAAUUCUUUUAUGUAUGAUUGGUUAUCUUUGCAAGUCUCUUCGAAUUAUCAGUUUGGUUUGGCCUACUAGAUUGAUCUUUCUUGCAAUGGGAGAAGUGCUUAGCUUUGGGUUCAAUCUUGCGGUGUCCUUUCCCAGUGACAGUAGGGGCAUCAAGGCACGUAUUGUAUUGUUUCCAUCGAGGAUAACAAGAUGGGUUUUUUUAUCAUAUUGCAUGAAUUUAUCCCUCUACAUCAUGUCAUCUUGCUUAAGGCGUUACUCUGUUCUUAUGAACUUAAUACUCUAGAUGCAUGCUGGAUAGCGGUCGAUGUGUCGAGUAAUAGUAGUAGAUGUAGGUAGGAGUUGGUCUACUAGUCUCGGACGUGAUGCCUAUAUACAAUAUCAUACCUAGAUAUUCUCAUAACUAUGCUCAAUUCUGUCAAUUUCUCAACAGUAAUUUGUUCACCCACCGUAAAAUACCUAUGCUCUUAAGAGAAGCCACUAGUGAAACCUAUGGCCCCCGGGUCUAUCUUCAUCAUAUUAAUCUUCCAAUACUUAGUUAUUUUCAUUGCCUUUUAUUUUACUUUGCAUCUUUAUCAUAGAAAUACCAAAAAUAUUAUCUUAUUAUAUCUAUCAAAUCUCACUCUCGUAAGUGACUGUGUAGGGAUUGACAACCCCUUAUCGCGUUGGUUGUGAGGAUUUAUUUGUUUUGUGCAGGUGCGAGGGACUCGCGCAUAGCCUCCUACUGGAUUGAUACCUUGGUUCUCAAAAACUGAGGGUACUUUGCUGCAUCACCCUUUCCUCUUCAAGGGAAAACCAACGCAGUGCUCAAGAGGUAGCAAGAAGGAUUUCUGGCACCAUUGCCGGGGAGAGUCGCGCAAGUCAAGAUUUGACUCAUACAUACCAAGUACCCAUCACAAACCCUUAUCUCCCGCAUUACAUUAUUUGCCAUUUGCCUCUCGUUUUCCUCUCCCCCACUUCACCCUUGCCGUUUUAUUCGCCCUCUCUCUCUAUCCUCCCUCUCUUUCCCGUUUGCCUCUUUUUACCCGUUUCUUUUAUGCUUGUGUGUUGGAUUGCUUGCUUGUCAUGAUGGCUCAAGAUAACACUAAAUCGUGUGACUUUACCAAUACCAACAACAA
rnacentral:lncRNA from 1 species